rnacentral:lncRNA from 1 species
UGGGUGAAGCUUUUGUAGGGGAAGCUUUUGUGGUGGGUGAGGCUUUUGUGGGUAAAGCUUUUGUUGGUGAAGCUUUUGUAGGUGAAGCUAUUGUGGGUGAAGCUUUGUGGGUGAAGCUUUGGAGUUGAAGCUAUGUAGGUGAAGCUUUUGUGUUGAAGCUUUUGUAGGUGAAACUUUGGAGUUGAAGCUUUGUAGGUGAAGCUUUGGAGUUAAAGCUUUUGUUGGGUACCAUGAAUUGAUUUUGCUUCACACUAUCUUGAUUAAGAUAGUGUGAAGCUUUUGAGAAUUUGUAGUUGUCCUCCAUUGAUGAAACUUUUGUUGGUGAAGCUUUUGUGGUGAAGCUUUGUUGGGUACCAUGAAUUGAUUUUGCUUCACACUAUCUUGAUCAAGAUAGUGUGAAGAUUUUGAGAAUUUGUAGUUGUCCUCCAUUAAUGAAGCUUUGUUGAAUUUCCCUUUUUUUUUUCUUUUUUUUUUGGAAAACUAGAAAUUUGUUGAAUUUCCCAACUUUUUUUUUUUGGGAAACUAGAAAUUUGAAAAUGUGGGAGAGACAACAUAUACAAAUUUUGCUUCCACACUGUUGAGCAAGAGAUUAUGAUGCAAGCCACACCUUGUAUUAGUCAAAGGUUUGGGCGAACCAUAUAAAUUUAAUUUGCUUCGAACAAUCUUGAUCAAGAGUGUGUGAAGCUUUCUACGAGUUGUAGUUGUCCUUCAUUGAUGAAGCUUUUGUUGGCACCAUAAAUUGGUUUUGCUUCACACUGUCUUGAUCAAGAGUGUGUUAAGCUUUUGAGAAUUGUGGUUGCCCUCCAUUGAUGAAGCUCUUGUUGGCACCAUAAAUUGGUUUUGUUUCACAUUGUCUUGAUCAAGAGUGUGUGAAGCUUUUGAGAAUUGUGGUUGCCCUCCAUUGAUGAAGCUCUUGAUGGCACCAUAAAUUGGUUUUGCUUCACCCUGUCUUGAUCAAGAGUGUGUGAAGCUUUCUACGAGUUGUAGUGUUUGCAUUGUUACAGAGGGGAAAUGUCUAAAGCAGAUGCAAGAGGGCUGAAUAGCUUGAUCUUCGCAUGCCAUGCACUAAAGUUGUUGUUGGCUUGCAAUAAGACUUUGUUGGUGACUAUAACUCUUGUUGGGCAUAAGUGCUCCCCUAGUUAAGUUGUUAAACUUGAAGGUUUUUUAUUAUUUGUGAAUGCUAGGAGUUCACAUGUACAAGUUGUACUACUCGUCUUCUAGUAGGUGGAAUGAAUGGUGAGUUGCUUUCAUCACUUGGUUGGUGGUACGAAGGUGAGUUCCUUCAUCACCUUUCAUCACAUUUCAUCACCUGGUUGGUGGCACGAGGAUGAGUUCCUUCUUCACCUGGUUGGUGGAAUGAAUGAUAAGUUACCAAAUGAUAUUACAGUACGGGUUGUACAUUUCAUCACCUGGUUGGUGGCAUGAAGAUGAGUUCAUUCUUCACCUGGUUGGUGGCAUGAAUGGCAAGUUACCAAAUGAUAUUAGAGUACGGGUUGUACAUUUCAUCACCUGGUUGGUGGCAUGAAGGAGAGUACUGGUUGUACAUUUCAUCACCUGGUUGGUGGCAUGAAUGGCAAGUUGCCAAAUGAUAUUAGAGUACAGGUUGUACAUUUCAUCACCUGGUUGGUGGCAUGAAGGAGAGUACGGGUUGUACAUUUGAUUACCUGGUUGGUGACAUGAAGAUGAGUUCCUUCUUCACCUGGUUGGUGGCAUGAGUGGCAAGUUGCCAAAUGAUAUUAGAGUAUGGGUUGUACAUUUAAUCACAUGGUUAGUGGCAUGAAGGAGAGUACGGGUUGUACAUUUCAUCACCUGGUUGGUGGCAUGAAGAUGAGUUCAUUCUUCACAUUUCAUCACCUGGUUAGUAAGAAUAAGGGCAAGGUGUCGAGGCACAUUGUAGCAGGUGUCGAAUGACACAAAGUAUGUUGAACCCUUUCAAAGCACAGUUGGCUUAUGCAUGAAUGUGUUGGAAUGUAUGAUUGAACGAAUAUAUUGUGAAGUUGUUCGUUUAUUUGUAUAGUCUUGUUGACAUAAUCUUUGUUUCAUGUUGGAAGCAUUCAUGUUGAAGCUUUGAACUUGAGUGUUUCAUUGCUAGGAAUGUAAGAGGAUUAGGACCGAGUUGUCUAAAUCACCUCUUUAUUGAAUUCAUUCCAAAUAGUCUUCGUUACAUAGGAUGCCGAACAGCUGAAGCUUAACACUUGUACAAUGUGAGUUUACUUGUAAUAGUACUUCAAGUGAUUAGCGUUCCAUGGACGGCCAAGGGUCUUGCCAUUGGAGCUUCUAAGCUUGUAGGAGCCAAGGCGACUGAUGCCAACAACUUCAAAUGGUCCAUCCCAAUUUGGACUAAGUGUUCCUUCACUCAGGACUCUGUCGUAGAGUAAUCUUUUCUUCAAUACCUAGUUCCCUACUUUGAAAGAACAAGGUUUGACCCUUGAGUCAUAGUAGUUAGACAUGUGCUGCUUGUAGGUGACAUUCCUCAAGUGAGCCUGGUUUCUAUGUUCCUCGACUAGAUUGAAGUUGAGGGUAAAUUGUUUGUCAUUUUCACUUUGCACGUAGUUUUGGACUCGGAACGUUGCUUGCUCAAGCUCAACUAGGACAACUGCCUCUAUACCAAAGGCAAGUGAGAAUGCGGUUUCUCCUGUUGAUGUCUGAUACGAAGUGUGGUAUGACCAAAGAACUUAGGGUACAAAUUCUGGCCAACAACCUUUAGCCUUGUACAAGCCGGUUUUCAAAGUUCGCUUGAUUAUUUUGUUGAUGGCUUCAACUUGUCCAUUAGACUGGGGAUGAGCUGGGAAGGCAAAACAUAAGUUGAUGUUGAACUUAGAGCAGAACAUCCUGAACUUAUUGUUGUCGAACUAUCGUCCGUUGUCAGUGACUAUUGCAUUGGGAAUGCCGAAUCUACAAAGGAUGUUCUUCCAUACGAAGUCUUCUAUUUUUGCCUCAGUAAUGGUUGUCAAGGGUUCUAUGAUAGGAGCAUAUUUAUGCGACUUAAUUGGCUUGUUCUCGUGCAUUUAUGUUAUGUUUCGUUAGCUAUUUUAGUGUUUAAAGUUACUUUUGCGUGUUUUCAGAUUCCAAAGCCGAAGUGUGCAAAAUGAUGUAAUUUGGAGCCUUUUGGAGCAAAAGGAAUGGAUGAAUUGAAGACUUGAAGAAAUUAGGAUUCCUAAUCAACGAAGGAUUCCUAAUUGAAGAAGGAUUCCUAAUCGACGAAGGAUUCCUACUCCAAGAAGGAUUCCUAAUGGAAGAUGGAUUCCUAAUCACAUGAGGAUUCCUAUAAGAACAAGGAUUCCUACUCCAACAAGGAUUCCUACUUGAAAUAGGAAAGUUAAGCCAAAGUUUCCUACUUUGGUUUGAUUUUUCCUAAAUGUCCCUAAAAGUUCCAGCAAUUAUGAAGACUUCCUAAGCAUUCUAGGACAUCAAAUACACAUCUCUUGCACCUUUUGAACCCUUGCCACACCCCCCUUGGUAUUUCCUCUUCCUUGCCGUGCAAGGGAGAGGGUAAUUUCCUGAUUCUAAGCUUUAAAACACCUUCCUUUUGUGUUUUAAACCCUAGCCGAAUUUCCCUUGCCCUUUCCUUUAAUUUUCUGAUUUUGUUUCCUAUUUCUAGAAGCUUUUGACUUAAAUUUCUGUUUACCUAAUUAGCCUAGGGUUUUUAAUUUCCUAAUCCCUUUAAAUAAACAUGUUUGUGCAGCCACAAACAACCCCAUUCAACCAGAAAAUAAUCCUUCACGCCAGAAACCAUUCUCCAUCUUCAACAGCCCCAUUCCUUCACCAUUCACCCAAAUUUCUGCCACAAAACCACCCUAGCCGCACCACCCAUCAACCCUAAACACUUCCAUACAUCCUCCAUCCAUUCUACAUCAUUCAAAUACCCAAGAAUCUGCCCAUUCAGUCCCAUUCACGCCAGAAACAUCACCACUCUCUCUGCCGCACCUAUCCUUCACCAUUCACCAUAUUUUCUGACCCAAAACCACCCUAGCCAUCCCAUACACCUAUCCCAGCCAUAAACCCAUCGUUCUACACCAUCCAUAACCCCCAAAAUCCACCCAUUCGUGUGCUGCAGCAAGGAGAAAGAAGGAAGGACUCUUGGAUGCUCAAGCUUCAUCGUUGGUGCAUUCUAGGUGUAAUUCGUUUUAUGAUUUCAAUGUUUAAUUUCUUUUCCUUUCGUUUUGCUAUGAACAUGAGUGGCUAAACCCCUAUUGGUUAGGGGUAAUUUCGAAGCCAUGACUAUGUAUGCAAGUUGAUUUGAUAAAUGCCAGUUAUGAGUUCUUGAAUCGUGAAUGCAAUUGGCUUAACUGUGCGAGUAAUAACUUAUUUGUGUUUGUUAAUUAGGGGUCGACACUUAAUUAUAAUGGCUUGCUAGAAUAUUGGCUUGAUUCAUAUAAUCGUCAUUACAUAGUCAUAUGUAUUGUCAAAUGGUCGCUAGUCACGAUCGCGUAAUCGAGUGUCCAAUUCCUAGCAUGAGUGACAUGAUGUCAUAGUUGCAAUGCUUGUUUUAAUGCUUUUUCAUUGAAUGUAAUGAUCUUUUGAUGUAAUUUUGAUUAGGGAUGUCAAAUGCCAAUUGAUCAAUCAAAUAAUAAUUUGGAAAAUUGAACUUAACUAGUGAUGUCACGGUUAAUUUGGGGCAUUGUCAUUCAUGAUUCAAUGAUAAAUAACUGAAUUCAGUCGUUUGUAGGUUAUGUGAAAAGCCUCUAACUAAUCCAUUCCAUUUAAAAUUUCCAAAAUCGUUUUCAAAUCUGUUUUACUUUGCAAUCUGUUUUGUUAAUUUAUUUUUCGUCAAAUCAAAUCCCCAUUUAUUUUGAAGUCCUAGAUUAGUUAGAAAGUGUUUUGGUUUUAUGUUUUUAAGUGUUUUGGUACAAGUUAAAACCCAAGUUUCCAAUUUGUUGCUCAACUCAAAAAGUUGCCCAGAAAGGUUUUAGCUUUUGAGUCUUUUUGCUUUUUGGAGUUUGUUUUAGUGUUAAACUUGUUUUGCAUUCUUUGAGUCUAAUGUUUGUUUUGUUUUAAGUAGUUAGUUUUUUUAGCAAUCAAUUGAUUUAACUUUAUUGAAUACAAUUGUCAACAAGAGGGUUUAAUUUGUUGCUAAUAUUGCUUUGUUUUAUUCAAACUUUCACUUUUUUUGCAUGGUGUCAUUUGAGUUUUUUAACGUUAGCAUGAUUUCAAUGAAGGAAUUGCUUUCGAGUCGUUUGCAUACUUGUUAUGUGUGGAGAAAAGCCUCUAAACCUAAACCCCAUUUUCCAAAACAAAUUUUUCGCAAAUCUGUUUUUGUUUUAUUUUCAAAUCGUCCCAUUUAUUUUUUAAGUCUAGAUUAGUUGAAAGUUUUGUUUUGUUUUUAAUUUUUUGUUUCUAAGUUAGUUGUUUUUAAGGCAGUUUUGUCUUUUGGUUGCUGUUUUGAGUUUUUUUUGUUUUUUAAACUUUAGUUUUGCAUUCUUUGAGUCUAAUCUAGUGUUUUAAACUUUGUUUUUACGUUUCUAAGUUAGUUUUCAAGUGUUUAGCAAUCCCUCCUAAUCCCCGUUUUAAGAACGAUCCCUACUUAUCCAUACUACAAUUGUCAACAAGAGGGUUUAAUUUGUGUGUGCUUAUAUAUUUACGCAUCAUUCUACUUCAACCCACUUUGUGAAGUAGUCAACUACAACGAUUGCAUAGCUGACCUUACCCUUCCCAACAAGCAUUGGGCCGAUCAAAUCAAGUCCCCAUUAGGCGAAGGGCCAAUGGCUGAUCAUAGGAGUGAGCGGCUCGGGAGGGGAGUGAGGAAUAGUUGCGUAGCAUUGACACUUAUCAUAUGAGUGAGAUAUUAUGAUGGCAUCUUGGUAGAGUGUUGGCCAGUAAUAUCCUUGGCGAAAAGCCUUGUGUGCUAGGGAUUAUGAUCCAGCAUGAUCUCCGCAGACUCCUUCAUGUAUUUCCUGAAAGACAAUUUUCGCAUUUGCGGGUGUAAGGCAUCUUAGGUAUAGUAAGUUAAAACCCCGCUUGUAGAGUUGGUUAUUAAUGAUCAAGUAACGGGUAGCCUUGUAUCGAAUCUGCUUAGCUUGGACUUUGUCAUUUGGAAGGGUGCCAUAAGAAAGGAAUCUAUAAAUCGGGGUAAUCCAACUAUCCCUCUGUUGUAAGUUGCACACUUCCGCAGCCAUGAUGCUUGGUGCUGCUAACAAAUCGACCUGAAUUUUUCUCCUAAUCUUGUCUUCCACUGCUGAAGCGAGGCGAGCCAAAGCAUCUGCAUGACUAUUUGCCUCUCGAGGAAUUUGGGUGAUCUGGUAGUGGAAAUGCUUGAGCAAUAAUUGUGUUUGUGCCAUAUAUGCUGCCAUGGAGCUAUCCUUAGCGUCAAAGUUGUUGGUGACCUGGUUAACCACCAAUUGGGAGUCACUGAAGAUAUCAAUUCGCUUAACCCCAAUGUUUUUAGCCAAAUGUAAGCCUGCUAGGAGGGCUUCAUAUUCGGCCUCAUUGUUCAAAGCCUUGAAUUUGAAACGAAGAGAAUACUCCAUUGCCACUUUGUCAGGGGUCGUAAGGACUAAUCCUGCUUCACAACCCUGUUGGUUGGACGAGCCAUCAACAUAUAGACUCCAUACUGGGGCUGUUGGUUCUAUUUUCUGAGCUUCCGAAGGUAAUGAAACCACUUAUUUAGGCGUAAAAACAAUGUCAACAGGAUAUGUGAAGUCGACGAUGAAGUCUGCCACUGCUUGGCCCUUCUCAGCUGGCUUUGGUUGGUAGGAGAUGUCAAACUCACCCAAUGCUAUCGCCCAUUUUAUCAUUCACCCCGAAGUGUCGGGACUUUGGAGUAUCUGUCGAAGAGGAUGAUUGGUAAGCACGAUGAUGGAGUGUGCUUGGAAGUAAGGGUGAAGUUUUCGAGCAGACAUGACCAAUGCUAGUGCCAUUUUCUCAAUGUUGGAAUAUCGUGUCUCUGCAUCUUGUAAGGCCUUGCUAGCGUAGUAGACAUGCCGUUCGACAUUACCAUCCUUUCGAAUGAGAAUGGAACUUACUGCUGAAGCCGAUACCGACAGAUAGAUAAUGAGAGUGUCACCAACCUCAGGUUUGGAGAGCAGCGGGGCUUUACUAAUGUAGUCUUUAAGGUUCUUGAAUGCCUUGGCACAUCAAUCAGUCCAUGUAAUGUACUUCUUACUUCCCUUAAGUGCUUUGAAGAAAGGAGCACAUCUGUCUGUGGCCUUAGAGAUGAAUCUAGUUAAGGCUACCACCUUGCCAGUAAGGCUUUGGAUGUCUUUUGAAGUUACCCGUUCCUUCAUGUCGAGCAUUGCUUUGAUCUUCUCGGGAUUAGCCUCAAUGCCUCGUUGGCUUAUCAUGAAGCCUAAGAAUUUGCCAGAGCCUACGCCGAAGGCAAAUUUGUUGGGGUUCAACCUCAUUCGAUACCUCUUCAGAAUGGUGAAAGUUUCAGAUAGGUUAGCGAUGUGUUGGUCAGCAAGUUUGCUUUUGACUAGCAUAUCAUCAACGUAAACUUCCAUGUUCUUCCCAAUCUAUUCGGCGAACAUUGAAUUGACUAGUCUCUGAUAAGUCGCUCCUGCAUUCUUUAGGCCGAAGGGCAUGAUUUUAUAGCAAUAUAGUCCUCUGUCAGUAGUGAAGGCUGUGUGUUCUUGGUCCGAAGGGUUCAUGAGGAUUUGGUUGUAUCCUGAGUAAGCAUCUAUGAAGCUCAGGAGUUCACACCCUGCCGUAGAGUCUAUAAGUCUGUCAAUGAGAGGAAGAGGAAAGUUAUCCUUCGGGCAUCCUUUGUUUAGGUCGGUGUAGUCGACACACAUUCUCCACAAGACCUUUAGGAGCAAGAGACUUUCUUUGGUCGGAUUUUUUUAACAAGGACCAUAUUUGCUACCCAUGUUGUGUAAUUGACUUCACGGACGAAGCAUAUGCCUUUGAGUUUUUCAACUUCUGCCUUUAUUGCUUCAUAUUGUUCACCGUCAUAAGAUCUUCACUUCUGUCUCACCGGCUUGGUCUGUGGUCAAAACUCAAGCGAUGACAUCUGAUAUUGGGAGAGAUACCUGACAUGUCCUCGUAUGACCGGGCGAAGACCUCAGUGUUCUCUUGCAAAAAAGAGAUCAAUGCCAACCUAAUGGGUGGUGACAAGGUGGUGCCAAUCUUCACCAUGCGAUCUGGAUAAUCUUUUGAUAUAGAAACCUUCUCCAGCUCUUCAGCGGGUUGUGCUUGCUGGGUCAAAAAGUCAUUUCGAGGAUCGUCAGGUUGACUGUUGCCACCGUGAAGAUCCAAGUUGACUUCGUCCGGGCUUGUCUUUAUGACUUGGUCAUGUAUAGAAAAGGUUUCCUUGGGCACAAGCAUGAAGGAUGAUUUUGUGAAAACAUGUUCAUUUGAGCAACAUCAUAUAGCAUGCAAUUAACAAUUAAAGGCGGAAUCAUGCUUGCAUGCACUCAAAAACAAAACAUUACCCAUGAAAUUCAAAGCCUAGUAGAUUGGUGAACCAAGACUCAACUCAAAUCAAAGUGAGUUGAGAAAUUUAUACCUUUGUAGAUUCCUCUUUGCAUAAGCAAAAGCUAAUCACCCAAAGAGAGGGCCUUCAUUCCUUGCUUCUUAGAUCCAUGGAUUUGGAUGGAAGAAUAUGGUUCUCCAAGUUCCCAAAAUUGAGAACCUCUAAGUCUCCACACCAAGGAGAGAUUGGAGAAGGAAUGAGUGACCUUGGAGGAGUGGGAUUGCUAGCUAAUCCCUCCAAGGGGGCCGACCUCUUUAGAGAGAAAGGAGAGCUUUGUGUUCUCUCCAAUUUCCUAAAAGAAACCCCUUAAUGAAUUUUAGGCUAUAAAGUUCUUUAUAUAGUCACUUCUUUAAAUGACUUAAGAACCAAAAACCCUAAUUCAACACACAUGGCCGGCCACAUAAGGGAUUUGGGCUUUUGGGCCUUUGUGAAUCUUUAUUCAUUAAAUUGUCAUACAACUUAAGUCAAUGGGCUUGACGUUCGAAGCCCAUUGGGCCUUAAGGUCCAAAACUAUCCCGAGGUCUUUAACGAACUUAUUCGUUUGAUUAAUUAACAUAUUAAUUAAUCCUUGCCAUAAAUAAUUAAACCAUUUAACUAUUCUUACUCAUCUCCAUUGUUUCUUCAAUCUCCACCUUACACGGUGUACGAUCCAUUAGGUUCCUUUUAGUGCGGCAGUGGGCGAUUAAAACUCUUUCAAAUCGAUUGUGAAUUGAAACUUACUUUCAAUUCUCCCUUUAGUGUUUAUACACGUUUAGGGCUUCCACAAACCAAGAGUGACACCUAGCAGCAUAUCAUGGUUACCCAAGAUAAUCAGAAGAGGGUAGAGAACCUAUUCAGUUUAGGAUUACAAAUGCAAUACGGUCUUUCUCUAAUACAAUACUUUUGACCACAUUGUUUGGUUUGAUAGUUUAUUCAUGUCUACUAUCCAAUGUGAUUCGUGUGCUUAUAUGAUUACCUUGAAUGAGAUUUGGAACGACUUUCCUAAAUCUCAUUCAUACUCUGGCCAGAGAUUCUUAAUCAUAUCAUAGAGUAUUCUCCCUCAAACAGUUUGAAGGUUAGAGAUCCCUUGUUGUGCAUUCACUUGCCUCCAUGGCUAAGUGGCUUAACCCCAACUAUGCCAUGGACACCCUCCUUUUGGAGUGACUUUUGACAUAAUCAAAGAUCAAGGACUUAACCACAAGACAACUAUGAUGCCUCAGGUCAAAGGACUACUUUGCAUUAUCCCAACCAUGAGUUCUCAUGUGACAUGAAUAUGAAAACUCUUCGUUGAUCGUGUUCAGUGAACUCAUUCUCUAUUGAGCACCUAGGUACUUGUCUUGAUGUCACACACACCAAUGACUCGAGACUAGUCACUCUCCCUGAGAGAAGACACAGCACGUACUGAUCUUAACGGACUGUCAAUGCCCAAUUGGCAAUCCUAUGAUCAGGAACGUUUAGGAUGUGUCUACGAAAGAAUGGUCUCAUGAAUCUAACUUCUUUAGAUCGCAUUCUCCCAAUCACAUAUUCCUUGGACUUAUCGUUUAAGCAUAUAACAUUUAUAUAAGACGGCUCAAACAAUAAUCUUUGCCCUUGAUAUUAAACUAGAUUAGUUUAACAUGUGAAACGUCCGUAAAGUAUCAUCAUGAUUGGUUUUAGGGCACAUUUCCAACAAAGCAGGUGUUGUUGCUUGAUUGAAGUGUUGUAACAUGACCGUGCACUAAGUUGAUCUCCUCUAAUGUAACCAUUGCCAUAGAGGGUUAGAAAUUUCAUUAAUAACAUAUGUGUGGAUACCACGGCCUUGAAAUCAUUGAUGCAUGUGCGUCCAAAGAUGACAUUGUAUGUCGUUGGGCAAUCAACUACGAGGAAGUUAGUGGUAAUGGUAGUUGUGUAAGGGCAUGUACCAAUGGUGAAAGGUAAGUGUAUGCUCCCUAUAGGUUGCACGAUAUCACCGGAGAAGCUUAUCAGAGGAGAAAUUGAGCGAUCGAGCAAGUGUUCAGCUACAUUAAGUGCCCUGAAAGCUUAAGCAAACAUGAUAUUGACCAAAGCCCUCGUGUCUUCCAGGAUUCGUCUUACUUCAAAGUUGGCUAUGUGAGCCUCCACGAUCGAUGGGUCAUUGUCAGGGUAGAUGAUACCUCUUUCUUCCUCCAGGUAGAAACAUAUUGGAUCCCAGUUAGGCUUUUGAUACUUGCCUCCCCUGAUGUCUUCCACGUAAAAUACUUGGUAGCCAGGUCUUAAAGCUCGUUCGCUGUUUUUCAUGGCCCUAUUAGAAGAUUCAGAUAUGGGUGUGCCGUCGCUUAUGGAAUAUAUCACAUUCACUUGGUGUUGGUUACGGUUAUCCCUUGAAGGGUGAAGGAGGAAUCGAUUAAUUUUUCCUUCACGCUCCAAAGAUUCAAUAUGAUCUUGAAGGGUGAUACACUUUUCGCCGUCAUGGCCGUUAUGCUCAUGGUAACAGCAAACGUGCUCGUGUUCUUCAUGGGCUUGUAACCCGAAUACCUAAGAAUUGGCUUCAGUAUCUGGUGUGCUAUGCUGGGGUAAAUGGCCACGCAUGUGGUGUUUAAUGGCGUGUAUGUCUCAUACCUCGGGGUAGGGCCUGUCCUGACACGUGCUUGGCCCACAGUGUUGACUGUCUGCGGGCUGGCAUUAUUAUGGCGAUACCCUUGGUUAUUGUGAGAGUGUCCCUUACUCCUUUUACUAAAAUGGGACUGGUGAGGAUGGAAAUCUUUCCAUUUUCCCUGAAAUUGAUAUGUCUGUUGACUUGGUGAAGUAUUAAGUAAGGCAGGAUGAGGCACCGCUACCGUUUGGAAGGUCGAGGUCUUCUCAUUUGGUUAGAUCUGGCUUCCACUCCCUACUUGUUGAUAAGGGGUGACUGUGGGGGGUUUCCCUUGAUAUGUCCUUGCCUCAGCGAAGACAUGGUUGUAAGCUUGUGCCAUCACCUCAGAGUAAGUCUUCCAAGUGUUGGCAUUGAUCAUGUACUUGAAGAAACAAUCACGUAGGUCUGUCGUGAAGGCUUUGAGGGCAGUCUUGUCAUCUACCUCGGCACAACGAGAAUACUCAUGGCUGAAGUGACCAACAUACAUACGUAAUGACUCGUCUGGCUUCUGGUGAACAGUGUACAAGUCAUCCGCAGAGUGUAAGCGAUCGUACUAGAAAAUGUGUUAAGAAACAAACAAUUUCCUCAAUUCCUCAAAUGAGUCUACUGUCUCAAGUGGUAGACGACAAUACCAGUUUAGAGCUCCGCCAGAGAAGGUGGAGGGAAAGAGAAGACAUCGCUCUUUGUUGGUGUGCAUCUAGUAUGCCAUGGUGGACUCAAAGAGGUUAAGGUGUUCAAUCGGGUCCUCUUUUCCAGUAUAGAGUUGCAAGCCAAGCUUCUGCUUUGUCUUUGCUUGGAGGGGGUGUCGAGGAUCCUCCUUGUAAGAGGGCCAUGCUUAGGUUGGUUCCAAUAAGGUAUCUCAGCUUGUCGUUUGGCCUACAACUUGUUUACUUCCUUAAGGAGUUGUAGGACAAGAGGGUCCUGAGUAGAGUCAUGUACCACUGGAGCUUUCUUUCGGAAAUUUCCAUCUCCUUUUGGAAGUAGGAAGGAUUGAUCAAGAGCAUGUGAUUUUUCCCUGGACUCGCCGUACUGACUUCCAAGGUAUGUCUAUCGGAACAUCUUUGAGUCCCCUAUACCUUCAUGUUUCUCUAGGACUUGUUGCCCAUUCCCAAAUUGGUAGCUGGCCUGGGACAUAGGACAGGACCGAGUCUUUCAGAGACCCUUGGGUCAUUGAUCUUUGAGCUUACAUGGAUGGGAUUGUCUCGACGUUGCUUUAGGAAGUCUCGGCAGUCGUGAAAAACGGCUUUCGAUCCUUCCACUCCUUCUGUAAUGAGGUGCCUUCCUCCACUCCUUAUGCUUCAGGUCGAAGUAGCUUGGUUGAGAGAAGUCUCAUGUUGGUCGCCAUUUCGAUGAGUAGUUCACUCCUCAACGGGAAUACCCAUGUUGAGGGCAAAUGACCCUCCGUGUUGGGGGGCACCCAGUUGAUGGUUGACUUCCACAUGGGUGAUGAGCUUGUGUGUUUUAGUAUAUCUAGCCUUAUGGAGCAUCUCGAAGACCUUCUCAUAUUGCUAUUGGAGGAUCUCAUUCUUCAUCGCUAUCUUGUUGUUCUAAGCCUCCAGCUCAUCGACUUUAGCCUGAGGAGCAAACUUCUUUUGUUCUUUCUUUCGUUGCUUCGCACCAGGUGCAAGAGGGGUGUCAUUCUGUGUGUUGUGGCUUCCUUCGCUCCCCAUGUUGGAAACACAAGAUGUACGUGGUUCACCCAGAUUGGCUACGUCCACGGAGUAGAGGAGUUCUCAUUAAUUGUGAAGGGUUUACACAAGUACAUAGGUUCAAGCUCUACUUUUGUGAGUACUAUUGAAUGAUUUAGUACAAAUGACAUUAGGAAAUAUUGUGAGAGAAUGAUCUCUAUUUAUAGAAGAGAGUUUCUAGUUUCAUUCUGACAUUGACACGUGUCAUGUUGUGAUUGGCUUCUGACAUUGACACAUGUCGCGCUAUGAUUGGCGUCUGAUGUCAACACAUGUCGUGCUGUGAUUGGCCUCCUGGUUGGAGGGAAACUUUUCUGGGUCCUUGAAGAUAUAACGUUGACCGGUGCUCAGUAGUUUCGGGAUUGGUCAAGUAUGGUACAAACACAGUACUUCUCCUAUAGGCGAGACCUAUCUGAAGGACGAGCAUAGCUAGGCUAGGCAUAGGGGUUACAACCCAGCUGCAUAUAUGUGAGUGGGUAGUUAUUUUCAGUAUAUAUAUAUAUAUAUAUAUAUAUAUAUAUAUAUAUAUAUAUAUAUACUUGACGUUUUUCCCAGAAAACGUAUUUAAAAGAAAUGUGAUUUAAAUGCCAUGUCAUGUAUGCCUCAUAUUUUAGUAUAUGCAUUAUCAUAAUUAUACAUAUUGUUGCAUGGUGCUGUGGAGGCCCAGGUAAGAUACAGGUGAGUACACUAUGCUGGUAAUGAUUAUGAGAUAUGAUGAUGAUGAUGUUGAGAUAUAUAUUAAAGCUCAUUAAUCUGCACCCCGGUGUUAAUGCUCCCGCCCAGAGUUAGGGGCAUAGUCUUUAACAUGACGUUCACCUCCCGCACCACACGCUCCUCUUGGAUCCAAGUUAGGUGCACAGUUUUGUCGUACAGACCUUAUUUAUGGUUCCGACUCGUAGGUGACCCGCGAUUUAUCGCACAGUAUUCACGUGAUCGUAGCACUAGAGCGUAUUAUUGUUUUACACCCAGUCUUGUCGACCAGACCACGUGAGGUGGUUCCAACUUGUGUGCAAAUAUGUGUAUACAUGAUGAGAUAUGAUGAAAUAUGUGACGUAUACACAUAAUGAUUUAUAUGAUGAGAUGAGAUUGAUGUUGUGAUUCAGAUGAGCUCUAGAUUCCGCCAUAUAGAUCACGUCAGUUGACUCCAGCUAGCAAAGGGUUAUUGUGAAUUGCACCACCUGGCUUACUUUUGGUACUUUUAUGUUAUUGGGCAUGGCAUACGCAUGGCAUAUAUACAUACAAAUAUGAAUCUUGAUUUAUUGAGCAUGAUUUGAGAUAUAUACAUAUUUAUGUAUUCUAUUUUCUGGGAAAGUACCUAUAUACUUGUUUUACGGUGAGGGGUUAGUAUAUUCAAAGAAAAAUAAGGUUUUCGUGUAAGAAUGUUUUUAUUGACCCACUCAACUUUGUUUUUUGCCCCUCCAGGUCUUAGGUAGCAGAGUUGGUGGCUACGAGGAAUCCAACGGUGUUCUGACAGAAUCCGAAAAAGUAGGAUUCACCUUCGGGUGUUGUAUCUUAGUAAUUGUCCUACUUGACUGGGAUUGCUAGUUGCUUGGUUUUAAAUUGUUCGUAUUUCCUUACUCUUACUAGUAUCCUUCGGGUGUUGGUCUGAAAGUGUAUUUUUAAACUUAAACUCUCACUAAUAUCCUAUCUUAACUAGGAUUGCUAGUUGCUUGGUUUUAAAUUGUUCGUAUUUCCUUACUCUUUAUCGCUUCCGCUUUGCGUACAAGGCUACGUCACACUCACAUGACGCCCAAUACAUCUCGACUCCAGUCGGGGUGUGUCAUGCCGUGAGAGGGAUAGAGUUCCAAUUGGCCCAAAGAAAGAUAAAAGCCCAAAAUCUGAUUGGUUUAGAGGUAAUAGGAGCUAAUAUAAUUGGCUCGUGAUUUACGCAUUUAUGUAUUCAAUUAAUCGUAACUUUUUCGUUACAAAUCCGAUUUGGCCCUAACUCACGUCGACAUGCUCGUGACGUCAAGUACGAUUUAAUUACGAUGGCGAGGAAAUAAUUUAAAACUACAUAUGUACAUCCACGUCACUAAGCCAACAAUGGCAAUAUCGUCACUUUACACACUAGGGGAGAAAAUAUAUAUAAUAAUUUGGGAUGGGUCGUCACAUGUAGUCAUUUCUUUUGUGAUUUUCUUCUUCUUUCCAUUCCACCAGGUACUGAAUCGUAAAAAGGUUGCCUUUUGUGUGAGGAAAAUCAAUGGCUUUGCUGCUUAUGUCAUGCAUAACUCCACCAUAAGGGUCUAAGAUCACGUACCUUUUCAUCUCCUCCUCAAGUAUUUUCAAGGCUGCCCUUAUGCCCCUAUAAGAAAUUGGUGUCGUCACGUAAUCCGAUUUUGCUUUGAAAAAUCCUUUUCCUUGUAGAUAUCGACUUCCCAAGUCGGAGACUGAGCUUCCCUUACUUAGAUGACGGAAAGCCCAAGGAUGCCAACUAAAAGGGGACUUGCCCGAAGCCCAGCACCAAGCCCAAAGGCAAAUUAAAGCCUUCUUAGCCAAAAUGCAAGCCACGUGCUUAAUAUUGAAGUGACAAGUGAUGGAAACUAACUUACUACUAGCCAAAGAACCCUUUCUAGUGGCAUUCCAAGUAAAAAACUGAUGACUCACGUGCUUUCGAGCAAGAACAAAGUUACAGCAGUCCUGCUAAUUUGCUUAUAAAAGGAGGAAGAGGCCCCAAAGACAACGACGCUCAACCAAUCAAACAAACAAAAAUACAAACUCUGCUCUCAAGCCAGAUUUGCAUCCAAAAGCUGAAAUCAACCCAGAUUCAGUCAUUUUUAGUGACAAGCUAUCUCUUGUCCAGUUUAAAGCUAUGCUAUCUCCCUUAGUGGCAUAGUAUUAAUUCCCUUGUGUAAACUUGUUUACCAUCCAUCCCUUUUUAGCAUAUAAACCCCUGUUAAUUCAAAGAUAAGUGAUUGCAAGAGGUUCAACCUUGACAGACAAGGUGAAAUCUUGCCCGAAGCUCUUUGUUUGGUUUCUAAGUUAAUAGAUCUACUACUUAAUGCAUUCUUCAGUAUGUAUUCAAGUUUUUUCCACUUGUUUUCCUACUUUAAGAGUCUCAUUUGUAUCUGGAUCCGGCUAGUUUAAUGGAUAUGUUAUCAUUAAAAGCAAUCUAGGACUAAACAAAUGACUUAAGGGGAUCUGGACUCCCUUCAUUCAAACAUACAAGACUAUGAACUAAAAGUCCUUGUUUACAAGGCAAGAAAAAGAACUUAAUGUAGACUUAACCCAUUUGCGACAAUCCUUUGAUAACAAGACGUCCAAGUAACUUGAGGCGCAAGUAAUCGACUUAAAACACUUUUGUUCCACAUUUGCUAUACUGAGAUAGCAGUGGCACGCCUAUCACUCAGUUAGUUUUGAUUGGGAGCCUCAAGGUCUACACCUAAGGUCCCACAAAGGCACCUUUCAAAACUAACUUUGUCCUCUUCUUGUAGCACAUCAACAAGCAAAAGCCUGACUACACAUCCAAAGUACCAAUCCUUUGGGGAGCUAUGCUGAGGUCCGAGAUAGACAUUGAUGAGUAGAUUUUAUAUUAUAUAUUUUACCCUAAUCUUAGUAUAUUUUGGUUAAUAUAUUGGAAGAAUUUUGAUACUUUGAAUUGUAUUUUCAAUAUAGGACUUCCGACUUCCUCUGGAGCAAAACAGAACCAAAUGGAUGAAUUUUGGAGUAAUUCUAGUUGGAGGACGUUCGUGAGUCACUUAGCUUGAUCGUAUCAAAAUUUGGGAUUUUUUCACCAAGCAGUUAUUUUUUGACGAUAAAAUAAAGAAGCAGUGCGCAGUGCUGGAAAAUGACGUUUUUGGGCUUAAAUUGCGUUUUUGGAGCCCAAGAUAACUUCGGAUGGGUUCGUGGCCUUCUGGAGAAGUGUUCAGAAUAUUCCAAACAUUAAAUCCAGCUAUAUUGGGCCAGUUUUGGAGCAGCUUAUGGGUCAAAAAUGUGGCUGUUCAGAUUUUGGACGAAUUUUACUAUUUUAAUUUAGGGUUUUUAUUAAUUUUAGUUUGCUAGGGUUUGUGUGGUGGCUUAGCAAAUAUAUUGCUGGGCCGUCUACAGUUUUAGUUUACGCUUUAUUUUAUGCAAUAUUGGAGACAGAGAGAAGUGCUAGGGUUUUGAAGAUUUUCUACUUGAAGGUGUUUUCAAUCUUUUUCUUAGGAAUAUUUUCUAUGAUUUCAAUUAUGAAUAUGCGGAACUAAUUUCUGUUUGCUAGGGCGAAGCCUUGAGCCUUAGCAUGAAUAUGUGAUUUUUAUUUAAUUGCUUAUGAUUGAUUGCAUGCAUAUUUUGAAUUGUUAAUCACCGGGAUAAAAACUAUCUAAUUGUCUUAAUGCCUGAUCACCAUUAGGAUCUUUAGAAAAGUAAUUUGAUGCAAUUUUGGUCGGAAGGUUCCCUGAAAUUGACGCUGGCUUCUUGUGAUUAAUAAUUGUAAUUUCUCUUAAGAUGAAUAUCACGUCUUAAGGAUUGCAUGGUUUUUCAAAGGAUUUUCAUAAAGCAUAAUGAGUCUUUCAUGUUUAGAUUUGAUCCGAACGUCCGGACGGAUUGCAUGUUAGAUAUACGUUCUAUGUUGGAGGUUCCAAGUAGAAUAUGAAUUAGGAAAAUCUAACCUUCAAAGUGGCAUGUGUAGAUCAUAAGUAAUUGGUAAAAAUUCAUAGGAUUGCUAGGUGAUGGUGGAACCCUAGUGCUUUCUUAAUUUGAUUUUCUCAAAACUGUUUUCUUCUCUCUAAUCCUACUAUUGCAGUUUGUUUAUUUUAAUUCAUUAAAUUCGUUUUUAUUGUAAUUAGGUUAUAAAAUCACUCACUUAAAUUUCUACUUUACAAUAAUUAAUUGAAAUCUGAUUUGUUUCGGUUUAUUUAAUAAUCCCUGUGGAGAAUGACCUUGCGAGAUCCGUUUAUACUACAAUAUCCUUGUAAUUCUUGCAAGUAAAAUAGGAGGUUUUUAUCGCAUUCACGAGUUGUAAAAAUCCUAUCAGACAUCCACCAGUAAGGUUGAAAGAGUACAUUACUUACACUACAAGGCAUCUUAUCUCUGCAACCAUUUCUUAUCACAGAUUCUCACCAUCUCAUGCUUCUUUUCUUAACAAAUUGUCCAACACUUUUGAACCAAGGAAUUUUCAUGAAGCCUCAUGCAUGCCUAAGUGGCAAGAUUCUAUGACUCAAGAGCUCCAAGCUCUGAAUGACAACCAGACAUGGAGUGUGGUGGAUCUUCCAAAGGGCAAGAAGGCAGUUGGAAGUAGAUGGAUAUAUAAGAUCAAGUUCAACUCCAAUGGAAGCAUUGAGAGACACAAGGCAUGGUUAGUAGCUCAAGGUUUUGCACAAACCUAUGGCAUUGACUAUAAGGAGACCUUUACUCCAGUUGCCAAAAUGAACACUGUGAGGGUAUUAUUAUAUGUGGCAGUCAAUAAUGCAUGACCCUUAUUCCAAAUGGAUGUGAAGAAUGCAUUUCUUCAUGUGGACCUUGAAAAAGAAGUGUACAUGAAGUUGCUUCCAGGUCAUCCCAGAGAAAAGGAAUCCAACAAGGUCUGCAGACUUCACAAAGCCUUAUAUGGUCUCAAACAGUCCCCUAAAGCUUGGUAUUCGAAGCUCAGUUCAGUUCUUAAAGCUGCAGGGUUCCAAAAGAGUCAUGUUGACUCUUCCUUGUUUAUUCGAAGUGGUAAUAUUGGGAAAUUAGUGGUACUUAUAUAUGUUGAUGAUCUUAUUAUUACAGGUGAUAAUGUGAGUGAAAUCACAGCUCUUAAGCAAUCACUUCAUAAAAAAUUUGCCAUUAAAGACUUGGGGAACUUGAAACACUUUCUUGGAAUUGAGGUGGCCACCUCCUCAAAGCAGUUAUUCUUGAAUCAAAGAAAGUAUGUUCUAGAUCUUUUAGAUGAAGCUAACAUAACAGAGUGCAAGCCAGCUCGGACACCCCUAGCUAGCAAACUUCAGUUGCAUGAAAAACGUGAAUCUCUCUCGGAUCCUAGUGUUUAUCAGCGAGUGGUUGGGAAACUCAUUUAUCUCACCAUUACUAGGCCUGAUAUUUCUUAUUCAGUAAGCCUAGCCAGUCAAUUUAUGCACUCUCCUACACUAGUUCAUUGGGAAAUUGUCAAAAGAAUACUUCGUUAUCUCAAAAGCUCAGUAGGUAAAGGAAUACUUAUGAAGAACAAUGGUUCAAAUCACAUCAAGGCUUACACCGAUGCUAAUUGGGCUGGAAAUGCCAUUGUUCGAAAGUCUACCGCAGGUUUUUGCACAUUUGUUGGAGGUAAUCUUGUCACUUGGAAGAGCAAGAAGCAAACCGUAGUUGCUCGGUGCAAUGCAGAAGCUGAGUAUAGGGCCAUGGCAGCGACAACAUGUGAAUUUAUAUGGCUGAAAGGUCUUCUUUCUGAUCUCGGUUUCACAAGCAACACUCCAAUGUCUUUGUUUUGUGACAACCAAGCUGCCAUGCACAUUGCCUCUAAUUCAGUGUUUCAUGAGAGGACUAAAUAUAUUGAAGUUGAUAGCCAUUACAUUCAUGCUCAAGUUUAAUCCAAGGUGAUCGACACGGUGUUCACACAAAGCCACGAUCAACUGGCCGAUUUGUUCACAAAAGCCCUAGAUUAUACUCAAUUCCAGUGUUUGUUGUGCAAGCUUGGAUCAAUUAACCCCCUUGAUCCAGCUUGAGGGGGAGUAUUGAAACAAACCGAAUACUAGUGCUAGUUGCUUGUAUAUGUCACAAGUAUGGUUGUAAAGCAAAUGUCACAAGUAUGGUUGUAAACAUCGCUCUAGCUAAGUAUGGGUUAAAGUGAUUUUCUCAACCAUACUCUAGUCUUCCAUACCUUGUCACUCACUUAGGUCUUUUGUCAAUCUUUCUUCCUUGUUUCUAGGAACCACUUUACUUGUUAUUAAUAUUUGUCUUGUCCGCUUGUUAGGACUGAUUUGGUAGUGAGGUAUGGCUAUUAGCCUUCCUCUAGUAGUCUCCUUUUCGGCUCUCUAUAAGAAUUUCCUUUCACUUGUAAUAAGUAUGAGAAAUAUAAUACAAGAUUUAAAACCAAAACUCAACAUACAGAGUUAUUUCUCGGGAAGUAUAAUGGCUACCGGCUUAGGAAUGGCGGGAUCUGCGAAACGAAGAUUUUGGAUGGAGAAAUGGAGCAGCUUGUAGUAAGCUGCAGACUCAUUUUCAUUGUUAGGGAAUGUGGUAAAGUUGUUAAUGGCACGAAGAGUCAAACAAGAAGUGAUUUGGUCAGCAGGUAAUUCAACUAAACAAGGAACGAGAAGGCACAUGAUCAUAAACAAGAUAGGGGGUUCAAUCAUGGAUCGGUUUCUUUCUGCCAUAUUUAGCUACUACCUCGAUCCGUUCCUUAGUCAAUUUCUGAAGCUGCUAUAUAUGUGUAUAUGGAGCCAAAAGAAACAAAAGAGGUGGAUUUUAAAUUUUAAUGGAGAAGAGGGAAAAAAAAACAUAUAUGAGAAUACGUGAUGCAUUGAGGACAAACGGAUGAAGAGAUCAAUGUAAGGAUAAUGUGCAUGCGGCCGGCAAUUGAUUAAAAAUUUGGAAGUUGAGCCGGGUAAAACACUUGCUCACCAUAUUCUUUACGGGAACUGAUUUUCACGCUUUUAACUGUCACACAACAUUUUUUAUUCAUGACUGUUCAAUUAAAUAAAUCAAAUAUGAAAAUAGCAUGCAAGAUUAAACAGAAGUGUGUGGAAGAAAAAAAAAUGUGUUUGUCCUUUGCCUAUUCAAGGUGCCAUAUUGUAAAGGUGACAAAACUGAACUAGUUUGCAUGAGAGUAAAUACGGGUUAAACAAGUUAGGUUGGAGAGGGAGUGGGGAGAGACAAAGAAUGGCAUACUUUUAGCACCAAAGCAUGAAUCAAUAAACUAUGCAAUUUAAAAGUUUAAAAAAUGUCCGAAAAUAUGCGUGGGACGACAUGCCCGCCAGCCAAAGGGUCCAAAGCCUGGCCAUUUCCUACGUCGCCUAAUGUGUGGAGCCAAAAAUAUUCACAGGGCGACACGUGGAUUUUUGGACAAAAAUGACAAAAAUACCCUUGCAGUACAACGAGGUUCCUACGCGCAAGCAGCGGGCAACCCUCUUUCAACCAAGACAGAAGUGCCCAAAAUAGGUAACAAUUCAAAGUCCAUCUCAUCAAAUCCUUUCUACAAGGUAAUUCCCAAACACAUUCCUUUUUAAAUUAUGUUAAUUGGCUAAUUAAUGGGUUUAUUGCCUAAUUAACCCAUUAAUUGUCAAUUAAACCAUCCAUUAUAUCCAAAUAACUACAAAAUACAUCCAAUUCAACCCUAAAACACCACAUGGCCGGCUAUCCCCAUUUCAAAACCUAAUCCAUCACUUUUUUCUACCUUUUUCACCAUUUCUUCCUUUUUAUUACCCAAUAAAUUCAAAAACCACCAAAACAUUCAUCUUAUGUUUAAUAGCCAAAUAAAUUGGCUAAUUAAACCUAAAUUAAACCUAAAAACCCUAGCCACCUCCUAUCCCUAUAAAUAUACUCCCAUUCUCACCAAAAAGCUAAUUCCAACACUUUGGCAAAAAUCCCAAAAUUCUCUAAACACUCUCUCUCUAAAUUCUAACUUUGGCAUCGGAGGUUCUUCGGCCAAAGCCCCCCCCAUUCAUCGUGGGCGCGUGAGGCUCUUGGCCUUAACCUAAGGUGUUAAUUGUUUUGUAGGUGCAAAAUUGUCCAAGAUCAAGGAGGAAGAAAUUUGCAUCCACAAAUUGGUGCUUUCAUUGAGAGUUGAAAUCCAUACUCGUAGAAUACUCUCGCACAAAAAGGUUUUUUCUUUAUUUUCUAGUCCAUUUGAAUAUUUUUCAUACGUUCUUAUUAUUAGAAUUUUUUACUUGCAAAGGUUCUUUGAUAAAACGUAUAAGCAAAAUAUAAUGGCUAGAAAUUUAGAAAAUUCCACAAGUGAAAAUUCUAAUGUUCAAGAAAUGGGAUUGAGGAGAUCCGUGAGGCUAAAUGCGACAAUAAGGGGAGCGGCAUCAUCAUCACGAGCUUCCACCAUGGGAACCACCGUGGUGGCUACCUCGGUAGCCACCCGCGGCGAGGUCCAUGGUGCCUUCACCACGGCCACCAUGGGAACCACCGCGGUGGCUACUUCGGUAGCCACUCGUGGCGAGGUCUAUGGAGCCUUCACCACGGCCCGGAGAUCCGUGAGGCAAAAUGCGACAAUAAGGGGAGCGGCAUCACCACCACGAGUUUCCACCAUGGGAACCACCUCGGUGGCUACCUCGGUAGCCACCCACGGCGACGUCCAUGGUGCCUUCACCACGGCCACCAUGGGAACCACCGCGGUGGCUACUUCGGUAGCCACUCGUGGCGAGGUCCAUGGAGCCUUCACCACGGCCCGAGCCGUGCCAUCCAAGUUUACGUGGACCCAAGCCCAAGCCUCGCAUUCACAUGCACCGCGCAUUAAGCAGCCUGCUCCCGUGAUCCAGCCUGCUCCCGUCAAGCAACCCACUCUCACGGCCCAACCUGCUCCUGCCGAGCAGCCUGCUCUCGUGACCCAACUUGCUCCCGACGAGCAGCCCACUCCCGUGGCCCAGCCUGCUUUCGUCAAGCAGCCCACUCCCUUGGCCCAGCCUGCUCCUGCCAAGCAGCCCACUCCCGUGGCCCAGCCUGCUCCUGCCAAGCAGCCUGCUCUCGUGACCCAGCCUGCUCCCGACGAGCAACCCACUCCCGUGGUCCAACCUGCUUCCGUCAAGCAGCCCACUCCUGUGGCCCAGCCUGCUCCUGCCAAGCAGCCUGCUCUCGUGACCCAGCCUGCUCCCGACGAGCAGCUCACUCCCGUGGUUCAGCCUGCUUCCGUCGAGCAGCCCACUCUCACGGCCCAACCUGCUCCUGCCGAGCAACCUGCUCUCGUGACCCAGCCUGCUCCUGACGAGCAGCCCACUCUCACGGCCCAUCAUUCUCCAGUGGCUUUCCAAGCAGCCCAAGUCGACCCAAGACUAUCUCAACCAUCCGGACCUACCAUCAAGCCGGGGGCAUUCUCACCAUAUUUUUUCGCGGAUUUGACAUUUCCCAAUUCAAAUCUCGCGCCCGAAGUCUACCACAUUUCCACUGCCCAAGGAGGCGCAUUCCUUCCAAGCUCUUCCAAUCCAAAUGACGAACAACACUUGUCUCGACAAGUCAUAGAGUUGACGAGCGCCCUUGCACAACAGACAACUUUGGUGAAUCAACUUUUGCAACGUAUCGGGAUCCAACGUGCCCCGGACGAGGUAUCCCGAAGUAGGACAAGGGCAGACGAACCUUUCCAGCAGCGUCCCGGCAAGCAGCCAUUCGACCAGCCACGAGCCGAACGUUCAGGCAGUGUACAUUCCCAAUUGGGCCCCCGAGAUAGCGUAUACUCUCGUCUUAGCGCGCGGAGGAGCGUGUACUCUCGACUAGGCCCACGGAUGAGCAUACAUUCACGGUUGGGGUCACACUCCGAUAGUCAACAUGAGCAACCUUCCGGACAAAGUGUUCAUUCGCAGCUAAGCCCACAAGGAGCAUCAUCCACCUCACAUCAGAGUAGGCAGCACGACGGACGGAGAGAGGCAGUCACUCAAUCCAGCUCAAGUUCAACCAGCAGCCUGCGAAGAACUCAGUCGCCUGCUAGGAACGCACCACAUGCACUGCAUCUGCGGCGUAGACGAGCCAAACACAUGGAAGAGCAGUCUAGACCAGCAAGUCAUGGCUGGGGGCAGCCGAGAGCUCCGCUACCCCAACAAAGGCAAAUUCAGGAAGAAGUAGAGAGACUUUUGACCAAGCGAUUGCAUGAUUUCCAACGCAACGAGGUCACCGACGAGGCACUACGAUGGAACAUGACCAACAUAAGCAGGUCACCCUUCACGGACGAGAUCGAGCAGACAGAGCCUUCACGAGAGUUCAGCAUGCCACAUUUCACAUCUUUCAAAGGGGAUGAAGACCCGGAGAGACACUUAAAGCGCUACCGAAGCGCAAUGAUCCUUUAUCGAAACAACGAUGAGCUUAUGUGCAAGAUAUUCGCCACCACUCUACAAGGCGAGGCGCAAGAUUGGUUCUACACCCUGCCGCCACAAUCCAUCCGGAAUUUCUACAAACUUUCUUUGGUUUUCACCAAAGAAUAUUCAUCCUAUCGCUCGAUCAAAAAGAAAUCUGAUCAUUUGUUCAACGUCAAGAAGAACCCAAAUGAGUCAUUUCGCGACUAUGUGAGGAGGUUCAAAGUAGAGAAGGCAAAAAUAGUCGGAUGCAACGACUCGAUAGCUAGAGCAGCCUUCCAAAAAGGACUUCCAGCAGACCACCCGCUAUUCAGAAAAUUGAUCAUGAAAGAAGAUCUAACUCUUGCAGACUCUUUUGCUUUGGCAGAGAAGUAUGCACUUUGGGAUGAGGCUCGCCAAUGCACAUUCAAGGACUUGAAGAAGUACCCGACAUCACCUCCCUAGAGGCAGCAGAGGACUUAUUCACAUGUUUGACGGUAUCUAAAGUAGCAAUAAGCUCUACCAUCAUGCGAGAAGAGAUGGGGGCCCGACUACCUGUAUUCCACAGUUACCUGUAUUCUACAGUUCAAAAGCUCUCCUCGAUGUUAUUAAAAAUUCAAAAGCUAACUUUGGCGAUAGUUGUUGCAACCCAGAAGCACAAGUUUUACUUUCAAACACAUGCAAUCAUCCUAAUGACGUACUAUUCUGCCCAAUCCAGACGCGCGACGAUAAAAGCGUAGACCCUGGCGGAUGUAAAGUUUUCUGACGAACGCAACACUGGAAGGACACACUCGAAAGCAAGUUUUGUCCUCGUCACCCUAAAAGAUUCUACAUAGGAGCAACAUGUACCGGCAGUUGAGUACCAUUUCUUGCUGCGCAUCACACGGCCCUAGCCGACCCUUGCUCAAUGAUUCAACUCUAGAGUGGCCUAAUACCGGCAGUUGAGCAUCUCCUGUUGCAUAUGACAUGGCCCCAUCUCCACAGCUCCCUACUGCGUCUUCACGCUGAGCCUAGGUGACCCAACAAAGCGGCCCAACGAUGCCUCAGAAGUAGCCGAGCACACUCUAGCUGCGCCUACUCCACCCGAUGGAGACUUCUGGCAUUUGCAUGUCGACGACGCAGAAAAGCCUUCAUCACUGCCGGCAGAGAAGGCUCCAAAAAGAUGGAUCCCAUCUGGGAAGGUCCGUACAAGAUCAACAGAGUAGGGGGCAAGAGUAAUUACACCCUCACCACCAUGAAGCGGCAAAAAGAUUGAAAAGAAAUGGAUGGCCUACAAUCGGAAGAAGUACCAUGUGUGACCUCCCGCUACAUCAAAACCCGAAGACUCAAUAAGCUCGACGGGCACCACUUCACAAGCUGAGGACUAUCCAGUUGUUAUGCAGUUCCUACCUUACAGCUAAAGUUCUCGUUCGUUUCACUCGUUUUUCAAUGAGGAAUUUAGAAGUAAUCACAACUUGGCUUGGCUGCAUGCUUACAACAACUAAUCACUCCUGCACUUCAAAAGAAGACUGCACCCUUCUUAGGGACUUAUCGCAGGAAUUGCGCCCUCCGAGGGACCAACCAUGCUCUCCAGUGCGAGAGGGUAAACCAAUUCUCCGACACCCAUAUGGGUCAGCUCUCCAAGAUGGGAGGAUAAACUUUACACUCCGAAUAUCCAGACGUGGAUGAGCCUGGCUGCCCUAGUAUAACUAGAUGCACAAUGGCUUGCGCCGGGAUUCCUAGAAGUAGCCGCAAUGGUCUUUUUCAAGGCUUAGCUAACUGAAGGAUUUUGGGUCUCUUGGCCUAAUCUGUGGGGAACAGGGCCCUAGAGACGGAGAGGGCACAUUACGCAGUACAUCCGAUGGACGGCUGCCCUGGAAUCCUAAAGCUGCUACCGAGUGCACUAAGGUAGCCUACGGAUUCCGGAAGACUGCCUACGACUUGCCCUUCGAGCAGUGAAGCCGCACUAGACUUAUACAACCGCACAUUCUUGUGAAAGGUUAAACAAGCUAGCGUGCAUAUAAGAAGUUUUAUCCACUGCCGACAUGCUGCGUAGUCGAUAAGCUUCACCUCUGCCAAGCGCGGAACAACCUACACCAAGUCCUAAAGUGUUGUGAUACUUGCUACGCAACCUACGGAAUUGAAGAAAGUCAAGGUUAACAGCCUAGUGGUUACGCGGACUUGUCUGCUUCUGUAAGUAAGGCAUCUGGCUGCCAACCCUAUGGCUAACAACUUUGCAAAGUUCUACACCAACACCUACGGCUGCAUAGGCUACGCGAGUUUGUCUGCUUAUAAAAAAGUAGCAUGCCUGCCACUGGUCUAUCAAGUCUAAAGGUUAGGGCAUGAACAAAAGAAGUGAAGAUGAAGAAAAAUGAAGGAAAACAUGUUUAUAAACAACUAGCAAAGGCCGAAGGAGUUCAAGCAAAACAAAAGCUACAAGGAAAAACAAAGAAAAUCCUAAAGGCUACCUAAAAUACUACACUACAGCAGCUUGGACAACCCACGACUACUCGGUCGCCACACCUUCAACAGCCGUAACGCUCUUAGCAGCAGCAUCAUCCGACGCUUCACCCCUGGUUGCCCCAGUCUGGGCACUAACUUCUCCAACUACUUCACCAAUGGAAGCCUUAAAAGUAAAAGCAAGCAAGUCUUCCGGAGAAAUAGAGAAGGUCUUAAAACCUCAAGCCCAUCCUUCUCACCCUUUAGUUGCUCAUUCUUCUUAAGCAGACUAACACGGACGCGCUGCAACUCAUCCACUCUCUUCUUAGCAUAAGUAGCGAAACGAAGCUCAGAAAUUGCAAGCUUAAGAUCUUGAAUCUGAGGCGAAUCAAUCUCAGCAGCAAAGGGAGCAGGCUUUGGCGCCACUUUAGCAGCAGAGUCUACCUUACCACUCUUCAUAAUAGCAAGUCUCUACAAAGGUGAACCGGACUUGGCUCCCAAAGAACGUCCUGGUACAGACUUCGGCACUGGGGGCAUGAUAAAACCUUUACGCUGAGUAAUCUUAUCCAUAAUUGUACUAGCCAUUCUCAACAUGGAAGACGCCACAUGCUCAGAUCUAGUAGCCUUACAUUUCUUCGCAUUGGAAGAAGUCAUGUCAAUCACAUACCUCUUGGUAGCAAACGGACCCUCAUGAACAGCGAAAGAAGUCUUUGGUUUUUUCUCAACCGGCAUCUCUUGAGCAAGCAGAGAAGAUCCAUUUUCCCACCUUCACUUGCAGCAAGAUCCACAACAGUGAUUGGAUGAGCCAGUGCAUCCGCUUUGAUCCUAUUCCCCUCAUCUUUUGGGAACAGCCCACGUUUCUCCUGACGAAAAGAGUUAAAGUAGCCAACGUCAUUCGUGGUACCUAGCAGGGAAGUUCAACCCAACAUUCCAGCAGUUCAUGAGGUUCGCAACCUCUUCAUUUCUCUCAAUCACCAGCCUAGCUCGAGUCAUGUCCAAAAGCCUAAAAAGACAUGAGCCAUGUGACUUGCCUAACAUUGCGCCCCAGUGCCACAAUCCGAGGUCCCAGCCACACAAGCUGCCCUUGGUUCUAGCCAAGUCGAGCAGCUUAAAGCAGUGGUCCCUGCCACAAUACCUCAUCGGCCCAUGCAGAGUCGACUCCUGGACCAUGCCAGCCGACGUGCCGCACCACCCCGACGGCUGCCCCGCGGUAGCACUAUCCACGAAGAAGACGAAGAAAUCAAGGAAAGACGGUCCUUUGCACGGGCAAGAUGUAGAAGAUUGCUAGAGGAGGGGGAACAAAUAUCCUCUAAGCUAUCUCUCUCUUGUAGGGUAGAAUAAAUCGCUCUCCAAAGUUGAUUUAAUAACCCACUUAAGGUGGAUUUAAAUAGGCUUUGAGAGAAAUUUAUUUCCCUUUCCUAGAAGGAUCUAAUUUCCUAUUAAAGAGAGAAUCUACAUCAAAGUAGGAAGCAGUCCUAAGUUUCCUAAAGCAAGAAGAUCUCUACACCUGCUGCCCUUUUCUGCGAGCAGCCCAACAGGUGUGGGGGCAUUUGUGGAGCCAAAAAUAUUCACAGGGCGACACGUGGAUUUUUGAACAAAAAUGACAAAAAUACCCUUGCAGUACAACGAGGUUCCUACGCGCAAGCAGCGGGCAACCCUCUUUCAACCAAGACAGAAGUGCCCAAAAUAGGUAACAAUUCAAAGUUCAUCUCAUCAAAUCCUUUCUACAAGGUAAUUCCCAAACACAUUCCUUUUAAAUUAUGUUAAUUGGCUAAUUAAUGGGUUUAUUGCCUAAUUAACCCAUUAAUUGUCAAUUAAACCAUCCAUUAUAUAUCCAAAUAACUACAAAAUACAUCCAAUUCAACCCUAAAAACACCACAUGGCCGGCUAUCCCCAUUUCAAAACCUAAUCCAUCACUUUUUUCUACCUUUUUCACCAUUUUCUUCCUUUUUUAUUACCCAAUAAAUUCAAAAACCACCAAAACAUUCAUCUUAUGUUUAAUAGCCAAAUAAAUUGGCUAAUUAAACCUAAAUUAAACCUAAAAACCCUAGCCACCUCCUAUCCCUAUAAAUAUACUCCCAUUCUCACCAAAAAGCUAAUUCCAACACUUUGGCAAAAAUCCCAAAAUUCUCUAAACACUCUUUCUCUCUAAAUUCUAACUUUGGCAUCGGAGGUUCUUCGGCCAAAGCCCCCCCCAUUCAUCGUGGGCGCGUGAGGCUCUUGGCCUUAACCUAAGGUGUUAAUUGUUUUGUAGGUGCAAAAUUGUCCAAGAUCAAGGAGGAAGAAAUUUGCAUCCACAUAAUGUGUUUUAUCUAAGAUGGAUAUGUAAAGUAUGUUUGUACAUGUAUGUAUGUAUGUUCGUUUACAUGUAUGUGUGUUUGUAUGUAUGUACAUGUAUGUACAUGUAUGCAGUAUACAUGCGUACAUGGUUACACAUCUCCAAGCAUGGACACGGAGGUUCGACUUAUACUUUCUCGAGUGGUUAAAGUACCCUGUCCAUGAGACAUUGAAGGUGCCAAAAAUUAGACCUCAUAUUCGUGUUGUGUUUUCCGUGUUCAUGUCAUUUUCGUAUCAUACUCGAUAUCUUAACAAGUCGUAUCGUGUAACACCCGUUAAAAUAAACGGGUAAUAUGACCCUGUAACAACCCAUCACUACAAAUUAUAGUUUUUAUAAAUUUAAAAGUGAAUUUACAAAACUGCCCUUCAAGGCAAAUGUGUUGACUUUGUUUGACCGCCUUGUCAUGUCAUGUAAGAUUUGUUUUCUUGGCGUAUCCCUGUAGUACUCGUCACUAUAGAUGCGUGGGCACAAGCGGAAUGUAAUUUGGAGUUAUAACGAAAAUUCUACGAACCUUUAAACAUCGAGGGCAUUUUGGGUAAUUUUCCAUUUGAAACACAUGUGGUAUUUUGUCUGACCAUUGGAUGAGCACCACAUGGGGCCACCCCCACUUUCUGGAACACUCUCUCUCUCUUUCUUUUUCUUCUUCUUCCGUAGCCCAACUCUCUAACUCUCUAACUCUCUCUUGGCUCUCCCUUUCUCCCAUGAAACAAACCACCAUCAUCACCAAAACUUUCGGCUUGUUGAACAUCAAAACCACCAUUAUCUGCAUGUCUUCACCACCAGAAACCUAGUUUUGAGUUCUGUUUCAUUGAAAACGAAUCCUAACCUCGAGUUCAAAGAACAAGGUUUUGGGACGAGACUUCUAGGCGUGAUUCAGACAAUUUCUAGUCAUCUUUUGAACUCAAAAGAGGUAUAAAAUUGAUUCCUCAUGUUUUGUAGAUGAAUUUUCAUGUUUGGAUCAUGUGAUUUGGUGGAGAAAUGAGAAAGUUAUAACGAUUUAAAGUUUGCCCAGUUUCUGGCUACCUCCACCACUUCGAGGCGUUUUUCGGCCAAAUAAUGGCGAGAUAGUCAUCGUGUAAGGUACCAUUCUCUUCGCCUCGUCGAGAAAUAUGAUUUUCGUUUUGAAUCACUUGAUUUCGUUGAGUAUUGACAAAGUUAUGGAUGUUGAAAGGUUGCCCAGAAAUUCUUGCGAAUUUCCCUGUUUUCCUGCGGACAGCGGUCUUUCAGGCCAUUUUUUGGCCAUCUCCGGUGACCAUUUGGACUCCAAGCAGGUAUAAUCUUUUUCUCCACUUCUCUAGCUUCGUUUUGGUAUAUUAUGGGUCGAAUUUGGUUGACAAACAAGUGAAAUAUGGAGUUCCAAAGAUUGCCCAGAAAAUCUGCAAAAUCUGUAGAAUCCGGCGAAAUUUCGUUAAUGUCCACCACUGGAACAUUAUAGCAAUCGAUGAUCCGACCAUUGGAUCAUCACUAAAAUUUAAUAUGUUAUAGUUCGUAAUAUUUGAGGAAUGUAGGAACUUACAGAUCGGGAAUCCGACAUAUUGAUCUUCCUGAAUUGCAUUUGUAAGUUUAUAAAAUAAAACGUUAACCACCACUUGAAUUUGUAAUGAAACUUUAGGAUGUUGUUCUAUAAGCAUAAUGUAGAUCUUUGGAAGUAUGGGAUCGGAAAUCCGGGAUGCGGAUCUUCUGGAUCAAAUUACGUAGGGAUGUGUUUUAUGUAAGUCACAUAUUUUGUCGAUAAGAUUUCUGAGACAUCAUUUGAUAAUUGUUCUAGGCGCCGAUUGUUCGUGACACCUUGAUGUAUGUGCUAGGGAGUUGUAGUGCAAAAUCCAGGUGAGUGGGCUUUUGGUGUUCAAUAUAUGUAUAUAUGCUUUACAUUUUUCCCAGAAAAUUGAUUUAAAUGAUUUUGCAUUUUAAAUGCCAUGUCAACUGUUUUAUAUUUUAGAAUAUGCAGUAGUAGUUAUGUAUUAUUUGACGCUAAGGACGCUCAGGUAAGUUCCAAGUGAGUAAAUGUUAAUGAUAGAGAUUGCAGUGUAUAUGAUUGUGAUGAGAUGCAUUUAGAGCUCAUUAUCCUGCACCCCGGUGUUAGUGCUCCCACCCGUGGCCAGGGCACAGUCCUUCACGUGAUGUUCACCUCCUGCACCGUACGCUCACCUUGGAUCCAAGUUUGGUGCACAGCUCUGUCGUACAGACCACAAUAGGUGGUUUCGACUUGUAGGUGACCCACGAUUUAUCGCGCAGCAUUCAUAUGAUGAUAGCACUUGAGCGUACUUAUUUGCACCUAGCUCUGUCAUAUAGACCAUCUUAGGUUGUUCUAACUCAUGUGCAGGAUUAGAGUGUUGAGCUAUAGGUUCAGCCAUAUAGGUCACAUUAGGUGACUCCGGCUGACAUAUCAUUUUACAUUGAAUUGUUUCACUUGGUUUACAUAUUUAUUACUGAGAUACUUGACAUGGCAUAUACUUGGUUUUCACUACUCUCGAGCAUGAUUUCUAUAUAUGUACGUAUUGCUAUUUUCUAGGAAAAUUAUACGGGUUUUAUGGUGAGGGGUUAUUAUGUUUAGAAAGAGUAAUGUAUUUUCAAAAGCUUUGUUUUUGCCCACUCACAUUUUCUGUUUUUUGCCCCUCCAGGCUUUAAAUGCUGAGCGAUCGUAUUGACGAGGAUUCUUGGCGAGUCUCAGUAUAUGGGGCUACUUCUGAGGGUAUGAUCCUUACCCACUCUACUGUACUUUACUUAUGCUCUGACGUCACGUGUGAGAUGGAUUCAUUUCAGCUCACUAGCGCACUCUAUAUUUAGACUCAUUUAGGUUUUAAAUUUAUUCACAUUUUUCACAUCACUACACUUUAUGGCUUCAUCACCCUCCAGGUGUCCGCCAGCACAGCCUGAUUCGAAAUCCUAGUGGACAUAUUCUAGGUUGAGGUGUGUCAGACCCGACCCGAAAUAACCCAACCCGUUACCUGUUAAAGAAAAAUAUAUUUUAAAUCAAUAAAUAAUCAAAUGAAAAACAUAAUAUUAAAUUAGUAUAUAUAUACUACAUUGUCACAUUCAAAACAUAAAAACACGUUUGUGUUUCAAGUAUUACAUACCCAAAAUAAAAGCAUAAUGAAUAAAAACAUUAGUACAUUACAAAAUAUCAAAUUUUCAAAGGAUUUACAAAAAAUGUGAAAAAAUAUAUAAACACUCACGAUUGCAUCAUUCCUCCAUGAGUAGACAAUGGUUAUACUUACAUCAUUUUUUAGAUUUUUAAAGCCCCAACCCCUCAUGAAUAGUAUUUUUAUUUUAGUGCAAAAUUAAUAAAGUUCAUAUUAAUUAUCGCAGAAGUGUCAAAAAUAUGUAAAAAAAAUGUGUAUAUAUAUUAACACUUGUAAUGGCAAACUUUAUAACUUUCAUAAAGGGCUCAACUUCAAAAUUCGCCACAAUAAUCACAUAAACCAUAGAGCAAAAUUUAACCGUUAAUUGUCAUUUAUAUUUACACUUUAUUUUUCUCACCAAAUUUUGUUUUUUUAGAUUUAUUUUUUGAAAUCAUAAUCUAUUAGAGGAUGUAGAAAGAUAAGCUGUUAAGAUCAUUGAUACUAUAUUCAAAGUUUUACUGUUAGUGAAAAUAUUAAUCGGAAUUUAUAAAGUCUCUACAAACUAUGUCACAUGUAACAUCCCACAUCGCCCAAGGGAGUGGAUCCUGUAAGCCUUAUAUGUAUAUUCCCAUCUCUACCUAGCACGAGGCCUUUUGGGAGCUCAUUGGCUUCGGGUUAUUGUCACAUCCCGACCCGAGCCCCCACCACAUCCCGGGCUCAACUCUACCGUAGCACGAUAUUGUCCGCUUUGGGUCUUGACCACGCCUUCACGGUUUUGUUUCUGGGAACUCACACAAGAACUUCCCAAUGGGUCACCCAUCAUGGGAUUGCUCUCAUGUGAACUCGCUUAACUUCGAAGUUCCGAUGGAACCCAAAGCCAUUGAGCUCCCAAAAGGCCUCGUGCUAGGUAAAGAUGGGAAUAUACAUAUAAGGCUUACAGGAUCCACUCCCCUGGGCGAUGUGGGAUGUUACAAUCCACCCCUCUUAGGGGCGCGACGUCCUCGUUGGCACACUUCCGACUGUCAAAUCGAACCAAAUAGAAUCUGGCCAGUUCGAUUUCGGUUUUUGAGGUUCAGAAAUCGAACCGAACCGAGAUAUAUUUAAUCACUUUUUUCAAUAUUAUAAAUAGUUUAGUCAUACAAUCAUAACAAAACAUAACAUGUUGCCACGUUGGUUUUAGUGAAGCUUCUCAAGCUGCAGCGAAUGGGUUCGAACCUUCAUGCCUCAAGGAUUUCAGAGAAUUUUUAAAUUUUUUUUGAGAAAUCAACAAAACCCUUUAACCCUAGCCACUAGUAGUAACAGCCACACCUUUUAUUUUUUUUCAUUCCCCUCUUCUCUCUCUCGUUCCUUGCCUCCAUUGUAACCCUAACCUAGUAACCCUUUCGCGCAGCCUGAGCCUCCUUUCUCUCUCUCGCUCGGUCUUCAACUUUAAUCGCUCUGUCUCUCUCAAUCUUUCAAGCGACCCACGACAGCGCGACCCUUUUCACUCUCAAUCUCUCACACCUCGCCCUCGCCGUCAGUCUCUCAUCUCGCCAUCAACUUUUUCUUGCCAUUUCGAGUCUUAACAACAAAAGGUUAGCCUCAUCCUCCUCUCUUUCUCUCUCUCGGUCUUCAACUUCAAUCACUCUUUGUCUCUCUCAAACUCUAUCUCUCUCGGUCUUGAAUCCCAGGCAACCCGCGACAGCGCGACAGUCUCUCACACCUCGCCGUCAACUUCCUCUUGCCAUUUCGAGGAAGUUGGCUUCUUCUGGUACACGGCAAGGAAGUUAGCUUCUAAUAUCACCUCAGCUCACUUAGAUUAGAUGAUUAGACUCUUAUAUUUUGCCUUUUUCCAUGAUUUAUAGUUUAUAACUAUAGUUGUUUUUUUUUUCUGAACCCAUUAGAUUUUCAAGUAUCUGCUAAUAACCUAUUAAAGUUUGGGACUUAAUGUGUGCUUUCAUAGAACUGGUUCUCAUAACCUGUUAAAGUUUGGGACUUGAUGUUUGCUGCAUGUUGAGCUUAUUUUUCUGCUCUGGUGAUGAAAUUUUGUGUUGAGAUCAACUUGCUUCCCGGUUUGCCAAUUUAUUUUUCAUUGGUUCUUUAGAUUUUGAUGCAUAUAUUUUGCUUAAGUAAUUGGAGGCCUUCUAAUUUUGUGAUGAACGUUGAUUCUAGGCCUUCUGAUUUUGUUUGUCAAUAUGGAAUUAAGGAGUUCUGGAGCAUUGCACUCUGUAUAGCUGAUAGUAAUUGAAAAAUAUUUUUAUAUGAAUCUGGAAAGCAUGGACAUGGAAUUUGGAAGACUUGAUUGCAAUUGAACUUUGAAUGUUUAUAGUUUCCAUUCUUAUGCUUGAGGAGGGACACUCAUAUCUGAUUUUUCUAUAUAUUUAUAUCUUGUUUUUGCAGUACUUGACCCCUACUCCAUCGCCAUUGUGUAAAAUUUUGACAGGACUAAUUUUCUUGGAGCACUUGUGAAUUUAUUUCUUACCUCUUGCCAUGACUUUGUUGAAGUUUGGGACUCACAUCUUUAACCUUGCUGUAAUGUUAUGACAUUUGCAAAGACGUGGGCUGAAAUUUUGAUGGUCGUUUCAUGUUGGAGAAGUAAUCUUCAACAGUAUUAUUCAUAUUAUUUUGGGUGCUUAUGUUUCUUUGGACUCUUUUUUGCUAUUGGAAAAAAAAAACCAGGCCGAAUACAAACCGAACCGAACACAAAUCGAUUGAAAACCGAACCGAACCAAACACAAACCGAUUGAAAACCGAACUAACCCGAAUAGUAAUUUCGGUUCGAUUUUCGAUUUUGGCAAAAAACCAAACCGAACCGACCCCUACUUCCGAUCAAGGAUUGGCUCACAAGGAUUACAAGGGAUGAUGGUGGGGGUGUUGUCCUUCUGUGGUUGCAGGUGUAGAGGUGUGUGUGUCUCGGCAAAGGAGGAGAAGAAGGAGUAAAGGUGAGUGAGAGUGGAAGAAGAAGAAGAAGAAGAAAAUAGAGAGAGGGAAAGUCACGGGUCAACCAAAUAAACCUCCAGAAAAUGGGGGAGAAAUCUGCCACGUGGCAGCCUGUGAGUGGUCCAAGGGUGGGAUAAAAAUCUCCACUUGUGAAAUUACCACAAUGCCCUUACCUUCAAAAAUUCGUAAAAGCUUCGUAAUAACUCUGAAUUUGAUUCUGAUCGCUCCUACACUUAUAUACCGUCAGGUACUUCAAAAAUACACUAAAAAAAUAUUUCAUACGCCUCACUAUACGUUGGUCAACGAAAAUCAAUACCCUCGCCUUUAGGGCAUUUUCGUAAAUUCACAUUUUUUAAAUUUAUAAAAUCUUAGAACUAGGGACGGGUUGCCACAAUCUAAUAAAAAUUUCGUCCUCAAAAUUUGAAAUCACUUGCUUUACAAUAAAUACUCCAAAAGGUAGGAAGAAAGUAUAUGUAAGGAAGAAAUCAAGCUAGAGCAUUUGCAUAAAAGUUAAUGUCAUUCCAUCGCGAUCGGAGUAUAGUGAUUCCUCUUUCAUACCCCAAACUCCUACCUUCCUUCUCCUUUAGUACAAUACUAAAACAUAAUAUUUUUAUAAAAACAUAACGUCAAAAAUAUGUACAUAAGUAUAGUAACAUCCCGCCAAAAUACACAUAUAUAAUAAAGUUAAAGUAAUUAUACUGAAAUUAAAAUUGAAAAUAGAAUAUUUUCACUUAUGCACUCGUUGUGUCAUGUACUUGUAGUAACUUUGGGUUAAGCCCAAACAAUAAGCAACUAAUUAAGUAAGUAUACUAACUUGAACGGGCCUACCUAUCUACUUGCUUAAAGAACCCAACGAAUAAGUUAUUGAUAUUACGAUCUGCAGCUCGUAAUACCGACAACUCACUGUUGUCACGAUAAGCAAGCAAAUAAUUUUUUAGGGUGCAAUAUUACUAUCUUGCCCCUCAUUGGGAAAUAUACAUACAAAUCGUCAAAUUAGCGUCUCGAUCGCGCUCAGGUACUACCUUCUCGGGUGAUAUUGUCAAUAGUGCGCAACUUUGCUACUUCACAAUUUCGAUCAUUCAAAUACCUUUUUGUAGUACUCCUCUGUCAAUCAUACAUUGUGUAUAACGUCUGCAUGCAACGUUUUCAAAGAGUGCCAAACUCAAAAUCGAAAAUUAUAACCGUGGUUACACAUAAUAUUAGCAAGGAUAGGUGCUAGUUAUAAUCAUACUAAAACUGUGGCACGGAUAAUCGCAACAUGUCCACCAAGGUCAAGAUAAUUCGUUCAAACUAGCCAUUAGUCUGAGAAUAAAAAUGUGGUAUUAGGCAACAACUUGUACACAUAGCCUUCAAGAAGACUUCCCAAAACUUAGAAGUGAAACACUUAUCACUGUAAGGUACCAUAGUGAUCUGCACACCAUAUCGUUGAACCAUGUAGUUCCCAAUACCUUAGUGAGCAGAUUCACAUUGAAUUCAUCUCAAAGACUAUGCCGAGAAGACUAAAAGAACACUUAAAAGUUAAGGGUCAAACAAGUCCACCAAUCUGGAAUACAAGGUAACUGGAAUUAAUGCAUGACAUCUCGCUACAACAGUAGCUUUCGGAUUAUUCAAUCACCAAUGGAAAGGGUUCACUCAACAAAGUAUUUGUUGGGUGAUUGAAGAAUUAAUGAUCAUAGCCAAAUUUCAAUGUCUGUGCAAUUCUUCUGAACAGUCUACCUGUCUCUGAAAUAAUACGAACUGCAGUAGAAUAAAGUUACCUAAAGUUGACCAGACUAUUUUCCAACACAAAGAGGUGGCUAUGGCAUCAUGGUCAAAAUAGAUGUUGAUCGAAAUGCCAUGAAAUCAGAUAAAUUCAAGUAUGAAAAAUUCACUGAGAGAUCUAAAAUGUUGUCCAUCCAGACCAACGGAAGUGAGUUGGCUUGUUUAGUCGAUCCAUAAUCAUCGAUACAUCAUCAUAAUCUCCUCAUGUACCAUAAACCUCAUACUGGGAGAUAAUGGUGAUAUUUCCCAUCUCUUCUUCAAUACAAUAAGUGAUUAUAACCACCCGAACGAUUUCUUGAGGAUUCGUAGGUAACGUCAUAUCAAUACUGUUGGAAGUAUGCCCACAAAGCCACUCAUUUGAUGUAAUAGCUUUUGGAAUACUUAAUGUAUUAAACUAUUAUAUGUUUAAUGAAGGGCAAAACUUAUUGUUAAUCACUAUUUAUUGUAUCAUGUGCUUAAGCAAUAAGGGAAUCCAAGGAAUGUAUAUGAUCUAAGAGAGAAGUGAUUUAAGUAAGUUAGAUUAACGAGACCUUUCUCUUAUGUUCAUUCCUAAAACGUUCCUAGCCAUAGGAUUGCCAAUUGGGCAUUGACAAUCCGCUAAGGUUAGUAUGUGUUAUGUCAACUCAAGCAUGAGUAUGACUAUUCUCAAGUCAUUUAGUGUUGGACACUAAGACAAACACAUAGGUGCUUGAAAGAGUAAUCGAGUACACUGAACAACGAUCAAAAGAGAGUUCGAACAUACAUAUCAUGUAAGAACUCGUAAGUUGCAAUAUGCAAAGUAGUCCUUUGACCUGAGGCAUCAUAGAUGUCUAAUGGUUAGGUCCUUGAUCUUUGAUCAUGUCAAAGGCAUUCCAUCGAGAGUGUCCACGGCAUUGUUGGGGUCAAGCUAUCUAGUCAUGUAGGCAUAUGAAUGCACAACAAGGGAUCUCUAACCUUCCAUAGUGGAAGGAGAAUACUCUAAGAUAUGAUUCAGGAGUCUUUGGCCAAAGCAUACGAAUAUGACUUAGGAAGUAUGUUCCAAAUCAUAUUCAAUUAAAUCAUAUAGAUAAGUAUUAAAUUGGAUAGUAGACAUGAAACAAACUAUCACUCAAACAAUGUGAUUAAGAGUAUUGUAUUAGAGAAAGACCGUAUUGCAUUGAAAUUGUAACUGGAUAGGUUCUCCAACCAAUUCUAUUUAGCUUGGGUAGCCAUGACAUGCUGCUAGGUGUCACUCAUGGUUUGUGGAAGCCCUUGAAGACAACAUUUCAAUUCUCUCUUUGUUGAAGAUUAGUGUUUGCUAAUCUUCAAGGGCUUCCACAAACCAUGAGUGACACCUAGCAGCAUGUCAUGGCUACCCAAGCUAAAUAGAAUUGGUUGGAGAACCUAUCCAGUUACAAUUUCAAUGCAAUAUGGUCAUUCUCUAAUACAAUACUCUUAAUCACAUUGUUUGAGUGAUAGUUUGUUUCAUGUCUACUAUCCAAUGUAAUACUUAUCUAUAUGAUUCAAUUGAAUAUGAUUUGGAACAUAAUUCCUAAGUCAUAUUCGUAUGCUUUGGCCAAAGACUCCUGAAUCAUAUCUUAGAGUAUUCUCCUUCCACUAUGGAAGGUUAAAGAUCCCUUGUUGUGCAUUCAUAUGCCUACAUGACUAGAUAGCUUGACCCCAACAAUGUCGUGGACACUCUCAAUGGAAUGCCUUUAACAUGAUCAAAGAUCAAGGACCUAACCAUUAGACAUCUAUGAUGCCUCAGGUCAAAGGACUACUUUGCAUAUUGCAACUUACGAGUUCUUACAUGACAUGGAUGUUCGAACUCCCUUUUGAUCGUUGUUCAGUGUACUCGAUUACUCAUUCAAGCACCUACGUGUUUGUCUUAGUGUCCAACAUUAAAUGACUUGAGACUAGUCAUACUCACACUUGAGUUGACAUAACACAUACUAACCUUAGCGGAUUGUCAAUGCCCAAUUGGCAAUCCUAUGGCUAGGAACGUUUUAGGAAUGAACAUAAGAGAAAGGUCUCGUUAAUCUAACUUACUUAAAUCACUUCUCUCUUAGAUCAAAUACAUUCCUUGGAUUCCCUUAUUGCUUAAACACAUGAUACAAUAAAUAGUGAUUAACAAUAAGCUUUGCCCUUCAUUAAACAUAUAAUAGUUUAAUACAUUAAGUAUUCCAAAAGCUAUUACAUCAAAUGAGUGGCUUUGUGGGCAUACUUCCAACAAUCUCACACUUGCACUCAAAGCCACCUUCCCAUGUAUCUAAUACCCAUCUUUUCCAUAUGGCGGUCAAGUUGGAUUUGAGACAUUGGCUUUGUCAGUGGAUCUGCUAUGUUAUCUACUGAGGUAACUUUAAGGAUGUUGACUUUCCCCUCGGCAGCAUAUCUUCUAAUGAUAUUAAAGCGCCUGUCAAAAUGCUUGUUCUUUUGAUGAGCCCUGGGUUCCUUGGCUUGAGCUAUCGCCCCACUAUUAUCACAGUACAAAGUUACUGGUGAUGUAAUGGUUGGAACCACUCCAAGUUCAGUAAUGAACUUCUUCAUCCAGAACGCUUCUUUGCUGGCUUCAGUUGCAGCGACAUAUUCUGCCUCCGUCGUGGAAUCAGCAAUUACAUCUUGUUUCUUGCUUUUCCAGCUAACAGCCCCACCAUUUUGAGUGAAUACAUAUCCGGAGUUGGAACUUCUAUCAUCGACGUCAGAUUGGAAAUCUGCGUCUGUAUAGGCUUCCACUCACAACUCUGUUGCUCCUCCAUAAACGAGGAACAUGUCCUUAGUUCUUCUUAAGUACUUAAGGACCGUCUUGACAGCUGCCCAGUGUUCUGAUCCUGGGUUAGAUUGAUAUCGACUAGUAAUGCUCACAGCAUAUGCGAUAUCAGGCCUUAUGCAUAUCAUGGCAUACAUGAGACUUCCUAUGGCGGAAGCAUAAGGAAUAUCACUCAUCUGCCGAAUCUCUUCAGGAGUCUUAGGUCCCAUGGACUUAGAAAGGUGAAUUCCAUGUCUCACAUGAAGAAAACCUUUCUUAGAUUGUUCCAUCUGGAACCUACUUAGCACCUUAUCUAUGUACAUAGAUUGGGAUAAUCCAAUUAAUUUUUUGGAUCUAUCACAAUAGAGCUUUAUCCCAAGUACAUAAGAUGCAUCUCCUAAAUCUUUCGUGUGGAAGGUUUUGGACAACCACACUUUUACAAAAGAAAGUACUGCAGUGUCAUUCCCGAAUAGUAAUAUGUCAUCCACAUAUAACACUAGGAAUACUACUGCAUCCCCAAGGACUUUUUGAUAAACACAAUUGUCUUCGUUUUGAGUAAAACCAAACGUUUUGAUUUCAGUACCGAAAUGAAUGUUCCAGCUCCUGGAGGCUUGCUUAAGUCCAUAAAUGGACCUUUGAAGCUUGCAUACCUUAGUCUUUUCAGACUUGGACACGAAACCUUCAGGUUGAGUCAUAUAGAGCUUUUCCUCUAGGUAGCCGUUCAGAAAAGCCGUCUUCACGUCCAUUUGCCAUAUCUCAUAAUCAUGGUACGCAGCUAUAGCAAGCAAAAUCCGAAUGGACUCAAUCAUGGCUACAGGAGAGAAGGUUUCUUCAUAGUCAAUCCCUUCUCGUUUCCUAUAACCCUUGGCUACUAGUCUAGCCUUAUAAGUCUCCACGUUCCCAUCAACGCCUAUCUUCCUCUUCAAGACCCAUUUGUUUCCAACAGGUACUAUACCUUCUGGAGGGUCUACAAGAGUCCAGACCUGAUUUUGAUACAUGGAAUCCAUCUCGGAUUUCAUGGCCUCUUGCCAUCUCUUUGAAUCAAUGUCGGACAUUGCUUCAGUGUAGUCUCUAGGGUCUUCCUUUGUGUCAUUGUCACCUAGAAGGUGCAAUUCCCCAAAGUCAUUAUCUAAGCCAUACCUCUUAGGUGGCUUGCUAACCCUUUCAGAUCUACGUGGAGCUAGGGGUUCAGGAACAGGGUUGUUAACUUGUCGAGUGCUUGUUUGUGGUUCAUCAUUAAUCUCAUUAAUUUCCAUCGUUUUACUUAUAGUUCCUUUAAGAACAAAUUCAUCCUCUAGAAACUUAGCAGUUCUAGCGACAAAAACUUUUUGGUCGUCAGGAUGGUAGAACUCAUAUCCCAUAGUUUCUCUAAGAUAUCCCACAAAAUAGCACCUAACUGGUCUCGCUUCAAGCUUCUUGACAUAUGCUUCACAACCCCAAAUCUUAAUGUGAUUAAGACUUGGCUUUCUUCCAUGCCAUAUCUCAUAGGGCGUCUGUGAAACUGACUUGGAAGGUACUCUAUUAAGUAAGUAAGAUGCUGUAUAUAGAGCGUAUCCCCAGAAUGUUACUGGUAGAUCAGUGGAACUCAUCAUAAAACGAACCAUGUUCAUCAAGGUUCGAUUUCUCCUUUCAGAAACUCCAUUAAGUUGUGGAGUUCCCGGUGGAGUCCACUGUGAUAUUAUUCCACACUCUUUAAGAUAAUCUAGGAACUCGCUACUUAGAUACUCUCCCCCUCGAUCUGAUCUUAGGAUCUUUAUCUGUUUCCCAGUUUGCUUCUCAACUUCAUUCUUGAAUUCUUUGAACCUUUCAAAGGAUUCUGACUUGUACUUCAUAAGUUACACAUAGCCAAACCGAGAGUGAUCAUCGGUGAAUGUGAUAUAGUAGGAGAAGCCUCCUCUCGAUGUAGUAGACAUAGGUCCACAUACGUCAGUGUGGAUUAACCCUAGAAUUUCAGUGGCACGCUCUUAUUUCCCAGUGAAUGGAGAUUUGGUCAUCUUCCCUUUUAAGCAACACUCACAAGUACCCAUUUGGUCAUUACCUAAUGGGCGAAAAUAUCCGUCUUUCGACAUCUUGCGAAUCUUAUCAAGGUUCACAUGUCCAAGUUUAAGAUGCCACAUCUUUUCUUGGAUAACUUCUUCUCUAGCCCUUUUGGGUUUUGAGGUAUUCCCGCUUUCAAUACAGUACAUCCCACUACUUGUCUCUAGGUGAAAAAGUCCCUCUAUCAUAUUACCAUGAGAGAUAAUACGACCGUUCAAGUAUAAAGUGCAACUCAUUUUGUCAAACAAUACUGAGUGCCCAUCUCGUAAAAGCUUAGAGAUAGAAAUCAAAUUCUUUAUACAUGAAGGAAAAUAUAAACAAUUUUUAAGUUCCAAGACUUCCCCAGAUGGCAGUUUAAUCAUGUAGGUGCCUAUUGCUUUAGUAGAGAUCUUAGUGUCGUUCCCAACUCGCAUAAUCAUCUCCCCAUUGCGCAAUGUCCUGCUCCCUGUUAGUCCCUGCAACGAACUGCAGUUAUGUUGACUAGCGCCUGAAUCAAAUAUCCAAGAAUUGGAGUUAAUUGUAAAAGCACUCUCUAUGACAGAAAUAGUCCCUUCAAAAGUUCUUGUCAUAAGGCUCGCAAUGCGCACCCUGUAUUUCUUCUUCCAACGUUCAUCCUUUCCACAAUGAAAGCAUGUUCCUUUGGAUUUUCUUGCCUUCUUCUUAUGCAACCUUUUCCUUGUGAUUGCAUUCUCACUCCCACUGUCCUUUUUGAAACCUUGUUCAAACUUACAGCACAUAUCAAUCAUCUAGGUAAAAGUAUGAUUGAAUCUAUUCGCUUUAUAGUUUACAAUAAACUUGGUGAAAUCAUCCGAGAGAGAUGCAAGGAAAAAGUCUUGGGCCAUUUUCCCAUCGAUGGAAGUUCCUAAACUUUCAAGAUCUUGAAAGAUCCUUCCCAUCUUUUGUCCAUGUUUAUGAACUGAUGCCCCCUUUGCCAUUUUGACAUUCAAUAGACUACAAACAUUUGAGAAUCGUACAUUACUAGUCUCAAUGUCAUGCAUCUUAUGCAAACUAUCAACCAUGGCACAAGAAGUGUCCAUGUGCUCAUGUAGCUUCUUAAGCUCCUCACUAAGUGAAGUGAGGAUUAAGCAUUUGGCUUGUAAGUCAUCCUCAUGGUGUCUAUCAUAAUUUUGACACUCCUCAUUUGAAGCUAGUUUCGUAGAAGGUACAUGAGGAGGGGAUUGCUUAAGCACAUACAAUAUGUCUUUCACCUUUGAGACAUUCUCAAUGUGGCGAUACCAAGCAAGGAAACGUUGGCCCCUAAGGCCCCUUUUGUCAAGUAUAAUGGUGGGUGUAAUUUUAGGCAUGUCGUUAACUACAUAACAUAACAGAAAUCGUAUUAGAUUGUUGAUUUUAAAACUACUUGAUUGGGUCUUAAAUCAAAUAGUACCACCCACUAUUUUUGGCAAAUUCCACAUCCCUCAAUGGAAUUCGAGAGUUGUUGAACUCUUAGCGGGGUAUGGGAGACUCACCAUUAUCAAGCCCACCUCAUGAUGAUACGAUGUUGGUUAGCAAAAAUAAUGAUGAGAGAAUAACGCUUUAAUCAUUUACAACUCUUGUAAUUACCCAUCUUGUUUGGCCUCUAGAGAAUGAUGCCUCACAAUGAUAUGAUGUUGGCACCAUUGCACUUAGUUAAGUUAUUCCCACCAUGCUAGUUCGUGUAGGGGUUCAAGAAUAGCCUCACAAUGAUAUGAUGUCGGCCAUCCUCGUUGCCUACCUCACUACAUCAUGUAUGUAUAUACGGACUCCUCUUGAAUAUAAGCACAUACUUUGAACUCCCCCAUCAUAAGGUGAGCCGUUGUAGGAGUCACAAACGAUUGGAGCCCAUCAUGGUGGAAGGCUGUUGGAAAUGUGCCCUAAAACCAAUCAUAUGAUGAUACUUUACGGACAUUUCACAUGUUAAACUAAUCUAGUUUAACUAUAAAGGGCAAAGAUUAUUGUUUGAGCCGUCUCAUAUAAAUGUUAUAUGCUUAAACGAUAAAGUCCAAGGAAUAUGUGAUUGGGAGAAUGCGAUCUAAAGAAGUUAGAUUCAUGAGACCAUUCUUUCGUAGACACAUCCUAAACGUUCCUGAUCAUAGGAUUGCCAAUUGGGCAUUGACAGUCCGUUAAGAUCAGUACGUACUGUGUCUUCUCUCAGGGAGAGUGACUAGUCUCGAGUCAUUGGUGUGUGUGACAUCAAGAGAAGUACGUAGGUGCUCAAUAGAGAAUGAGUUCAUUGAACACGAUCAACGAAGAGUUCUCAUAUUCAUGUCACAUGAGAACUCAUGGUUGGGAUAAUGCAAAGUAGUCCUUUGACCUGAGGCAUCACAGUUGUCUUGUGGUUAAGUCCUUGAUCUUUGAUUAUGUCAAAAGUCACUCCAAAAGGAGGGUGUCCACGGCAUCGUUGGGGUUAAGCCACUUAGUCAUGGAGGCAAGUGAAUGCGCAACAAGGGAUCUCUAACCUUCAAACCGUUUGAGGGAGAAUACUCUAUGAUAUGAUUAAGAAUCUUUGGCCAAAGUAUGAAUGAGAUUUAGGAAAGCGUUCCAAAUCACAUUCAAGGUAAUCAUAUAAGCACACGAAUCACAUUGGAUAGUAGACAUGAAUAAAUAAACUAUCAAACCAAACAAUGUGGUCAAGAGUAUUGUAUUAGAGAAAGACCGUAUUGCAUUUGUAAUCCUAAACUGAAUAGGUUUUCCACCUCUUCUGAUUAGCUUGGGUAACCAUGAUAUGCUGCUAGGUGUCACUCAUGGUUUGUGGAAGCCCUAAACGUGUGUAAUCACUAAAGGGAGAAUUGAAAGUAAGUUUCAAUUCACAAUCGAUGUGAAAUGGUUUUAAUCGCCCACUGCCUCGCUCGCUAAAAGGAACCUAAUGGAUCGUACACCGUGUAAGGUGAAGAUUGAAGAACAAAUGGAGAGAUGAGUAAGAAUGAUUAAAUGGUUUAAUUAUUUAUUAAUGGCAAGGAUUAAUUAAUAUGUUAAUUAAUCAAACAAAUAAGUUCGUUAAAGACCUCGGGAUAGUUUUUGGACCUUAAGGCCCAAUGGGCUUCGAACGUCAAGCCCAUUGACUUAAGUUGUAUGACAACUUAAUGACUAAAUAUUCACAAAGGCCCAAACAACCCAAAUACACCCUAAGGCCGGCCAUAUUGUUAAGGGUAGUGAACUUGGACUUAUUUACAAGUUUGCCACUCAAAUGAAUAAAGCUAUAAAUAUGACUUUAUAGCCAAAAUUCAUUUAGGGUUUGUUUUUGGAGAAAAUUGGAGAGAACAUGUCUCUCCAUUUCUCUCUAAAGAGGCCGGCCCCUUGGAGGGUGCAUCUAGCAAUCCCACUACUCCAAGGUCACUCAUUUCUUCUCCAAUCUAACCUUGGUGAAGAGACUUAGAGGUUCUCAAUUUUGGGAACUUGGAGAAACCUUUUCAUCCAUCCAAAUCCAUAGAUUUAAGAUGCAAGGAAUGAAGGCCCUCUCUUUGGGUGAUUAGCCUUUGCUUAUGCAAAGAGGAAUCUACAAAGGUAUAAAUCUCAACUCACUUUGUUUUGAGUUGAUUAAUGGUUCACCAAUCUACUAGGCUUUGAAUUUCUUGGUUAAUGUUUUGUUUUUAAGUGCAUGCUAGCAUGAUUCCGCCUUUAAUUGUUAAUUGCAUGCUUAUAGAUGUUGCUUAAAUGAACAUGUUUUCACAAAAUCUUUCUUCAAAGGCCUACGAAGAGAUGUUCAAAACAUCUCUCGCUUAUCAACUUAAUAUUCGUUUUGUUGAGGGAGUAGUGUUGGGCUACAUCAAUUUUAUUUUAAUCUUAUUAAAAGAACUUGGGCCUAUCACAACCAUUGGUCCAAGUUAAUAUUAAUUAGUAGUAUAUAAUACUCCCACUAUUUCGAUGAAACAAGCGAGACUAUAUGGAACUACUAACGAAUGCUUUGCAUCCUCAUAUGGACUAUAUAGUCAUAUUAGGUCUUAGGAUGAUUAUGAACCGUUUGAUUUGAUCCAACACGAGCCUUGUGUUGGACCUUGGGUUUAAGGUAGAUAGUUGUUGAUUUUAGUUACGCGUUUAAUCUAAUUAAACCGUUAUUUCCUAUUGGGCGUUGGACCCAACUAUUCCAAUUUGCAUACAUAUAAACAAAAAGGAAUACAUGAAAUAAAGAGAAGGGCUUAUGCCCUUUUACAACACAUUUGAUGGACUUAUGUCCAUUUACAACAAAUUUGAACUAAUCAAAUUACAUUCAAAUCUAAACUACUUAACCCAAACAUUCAUAAUGUAAAGCGGCCAAUCACAUAGCUCAAUUAUCGAGGCCUUUGGUUCAUAAUCACCCUUUUCUUAAUCAAUCACAUUAACUAAGAAAGCAACUUAAACAAUUGGUUUUCGGAUUCAUAGAAUUGAUUUAAUUGGAACUAAUUGAAAUGAAAAUCCAAUUCUCAUUAAAGAGACAAAACCAUUUUGUUCUCAUCUUAUUUGGGCAAAAAACAAUGACCUCAACAAUUGGGCCAUUAUUCAAUAAACAUAAACUUUUGGGGUCACUUUGUAAAAACACAAGAGUCCACAACUUCAUGUAAUUACAACUAGAACCCAAAAUUUUAACAAUAAUAAAAACAACAUUAAAGGAGCAAAACAAUUUGUCCUUUAGAGUUUUUGGGCCUUAACGUAAAACGUAAACUUUUGGGCCAAAAUACAAAUACACAAAAGUAUCAAAACUUUAUGUAAUUGCAUAAAAGGCCCAAAAUUACUCCCACUUGGGGUUGGCCGGUUUUAGAAGUGAAAAAGGAGUGUGAAAAGGUUUUGGUGAAAAAUCAAAGUUUGAAAGUGUUUUAUGCAAGUGGAUUAUGCAAGUGGAAAGGUAGGUGAGGAUAAAGGUGAUGGUAUAGGUUGUAAGAAAAUGUUUUGUGAAACAUUAAUGGCAUUUAUCAUCCCUCACCAAUAAUCCAUCACCCAUCAAAAUUAAACCAAAACUUUAUGAAAAACACCAAACAUUUUGAAUCAAAACUCCAAACCUUUUUGUUCUUGGCAAGAAUAUCAAGAACAUUGAAGAACACACAUGAAAACUCAUAAGAGCUCCAUGAAUGUUUUCAUUCAUUAAAACUCAAAUUUUCACAACACAAAAGAGGGUUAAUAUCCUAGGGUACUUAGGGGUUCCAAAAGUCACUUUAAAACCAUUUUAACAAGACAAACAUGAACCCAAAAAUCCACCCUUUGGAUUUGGCCGAAUUUCCCAACAUACAUGGCACCAAAUUUUAGUUCCAAUAUUCAUGCUUAAAUGAACUACAUCUACAACAUUUGAGAUGCUAAAUUUUCAAGCAAAAUUUAUAUUCAAAAGCAAGAACAAAGCUUGUAACAUUUACAACAUUUAAAUCACAAAUCAUGAAAAUCACAAAACCCAAAAGGAUUCACCAUAAACUAGACCUAGGCUCUGAUACCACUUGAAGGAGGAAUUUUGUCCUAGCUAAGAACAUGUGAGAAUAUUUGAACACAUAUGCAAACUAUUAACACAUUAAAGUAGGCAUGCAUUCAAAUACUCCUGAAUCCCAACAAGAAUGGAAUAGGAUAAGCUAAAGAUGUUCAAGGGUAGAUAUGUCUUUUGCUAUGGUAGAUAGUAUUUAUGUUGCACAACCGGGAUAAUACACGAUAGUGCAAUCAUAGACAUUGAUUUGAUUCUUCCAUCGUUGCUACCAAAGAUUUAGUUCCCUUCAAAUGAAGAUUGUUGAUGCACAAAAUCAAUGGGGACUUUGGUACAACAGAAAAUGUUAAGUUUGUGACCUUCGCUAGAUUGCUCCGAUCACCAGUGUAGAUAAGUAUGUAAAUGGAUAGAGACGGGGAAGCAAACACAAGAUGUACGUGGUUCACCUAGAUUGGCUACAUCCACGGAGUAGAGGAGUUCUCAUUAAUUGUGAAGGGUUUACACAAGUACAUAGGUUCAAGCUCUCCUUUAGUGAGUACAAGUGAAUGAUUUAGUACAAAUGACAUUAGGAAAUAUUGUGAGAGAAUGAUCUUUAUUUACAGAAAAGAGUUUCUAGUUUCAUUCUGACAUUGACACGUGUCAUGUUGUGAUUGGCUUCUGAUGUUGACACGUGUCACGCUAUGAUUGACUUCUGAUGUCGACACGUGUCGCGCUGUGAUUGGCCUCCUAGUUGGAGGGAAACUCUUCUGGAUCCUUGACAGUAUAACGUUGACCGGUGCUCAGUAGUUUCGGGAUUGGUUAAGUAUGGUACAAAUAGUGCUCCCCCAAGUUCCCGAGUGAGGGAAGCCCCUCGGUUGGGGAGUUGCAAGAUCUAAGCCAUUGAGUAAUCACGAAACUUCUAAGUACCAAAGUGUGGUAUCAUUUUCACUUGCCUUAUCUGUCUCAUACGUAGAUGUGGCAUCUUCUCUGGAAGUACUUUUCUUCCAUCCAGGGGUGGUAUCUUUAACCGAUGAAGAUGCACAAGGUAAUAUAUCAAUUUCACUUGAAGCUUACUUGUAGUUUUCGGCUUGGUCAAGUGCGAUACAAAACCCUAUAGUAGGAGUCCCCCAAAUCGCCGAGCUAGGAGAUUUUCCGAAAGAGGUAAUAGACAAGGUAAGCAAUCAGACUUCCAAGCAAGCAACCUGGAUCAGAGGUUCGACUUUGGCUUCCGGUUGAUUGUUCUCCUUCUCCUUGUGUUGUAAACAACAACAAGGACAAGGAGAAGCAAAUGGAGAAGAGAUGAUAUGAGACAUUUUUGCUUUUGAAGAAGUAACUUUCCAUAGGCUUAUUCUUGAACUGGGCUGGAGGGUUUUCUGGUUUCCUCUAGAGUAUAAGGCCAACUCAAGAAUUUGAGGGUCAAAACAAGUCCAUCAAAUCAAGAGUGCAUUCGACCUUGAUGAUAUGGGAUACUUUUGCUAUUGACGAAGUAGUGGAUGAAUCCGCACGUGUUUAAUUGCGCUUGUCUCCAUAUGCUUCCUUGUAUCCUUCUCACUUGCCCUAUCUGUUCCUCAGGUAGAUGUGGUAUCUUUUCUGGAAGCAUAAGAUGUUGAAGAUGAGUACUCGAUAGCAAUGCCAGGUAAGUAGUCAGGCAAGGGGUUCCAGCCAGUCAAUUCCUGACUGGAAGCUUGAUUCCAAGUGCUGACUGAUUGUUCUCUUUCUCCUUGUCUUGCAGGUAAGAACAAUGGCAAAGGAAAAGAUAGGGAAAAAACAUGAUAUGGGAUACUUUUUCUUUUGACCCUGAUGAUAUGAGAUACUCUUGCUCUGGUGUGGCUAGUUUGCAUAGGUAUUAUUGGGGGGGAAGAAAGCUGAGUAUUUCGAGAGGCUUCGUUGGGAGUGCCCUCUCAUAUGUGAGGAAGGGUUGAGCAUUUUUGCAGGUCUACCUAUCCAUGGAGGAUGGAGGUCGACAUAUAUAGGAGUCUCCCUAACAACAAGUAGUAAUGUUAUUCCUUUAGCCUUCUUGGUCGUAGCAAUGUAGUAGGAGCUGUAAGCUUCAAGUGUUUUAACUUUGUCAGAGCACUUUGAAAAAGUUGUAUGUGGUAUCUAGAAAGCUGAUGUUACGUGUGAAGAUUGCAGACAAGCUUUAUCCAAGGAAAUCUGGCUCUCGAACUUCGGAGAGCGAUGCCUCUUCAGUUUUCGAACAAGCAAUCCUGUCGGGGAUCUGGCUCUCGAGAUUCGGAGAACGGUGCCUCUUCGAUUUUUGAGAAAGUAAUCCUGUUGGGAGUCUGGCUCUUGAGAUUCAGGGAGCGGUGCCUCUUCGAUUUUUGAGAAAGUAAUCUUGUUGGGAGUUUGGCUCUCGGGAUUCGGAGGGUGGUGCUUCUUCGAUUUUUGAGCAAGUAAUAAUGCUAUUCAUUUACCCUUCUUGGUCAUAGCAAUGUAGUGGGAGCUUCAAGCUUCACAUGUUUUAACUUUGUCAGAGCGCUUUGAAAAAAUGGUCUGUGGUAUCUGGAAAGCUGAUGUUGCAUGUGAAUAUUGCAGACAAGCUUUAUCUAAGGAAAUCUGGCUCUUGAAGUUCGAAGAGCGGUGCCUCUUCUGUUUUCGAACAAGCAAUCCUGUCAGGGAUCUGGGUCUCGAGAUUCAAAGAACGGUGCCUCUUCAAUUUUUAAGAAAGCAAUCCUGUUGGGAGUCUGACUCUUAAGAUUCGGAUAGCAGUGUCUCUUCGAUUUUUGAGAAAGUAAUCAUGUUGGGAGUCUGGCUCUCGAGAUUCGGAGAGUGGUGCCUCUUUGAUUUUUGAGCAAGCAAUCUUGUUGGGAGUGUUUUCUCGAAUGUGAGUGAAGGUUGGGCAUUUUUGCCAUUCUGCCUUGCCACGGAGUAUGAAGGUUAACACACAUUGGGACUUUCUAGUUAUCAAGUAGUGGUGAUGUUCCUUUACCCUUGUGGGUAAUAGUAAGGUAGCUGGACCUUCAAAAUUUAUGUGUCUAAACUUUGUCAGAGAUCUUUGGCAAAGUUAUCUGUGGUACCCGAUGAGCUGAUGUUGCGUGUGGAAAGUGGUGCCUCUUUGAAAUCCGAAGAGUGGUGCCUCUUCGAUUUUUGAACCAACGGCCCUGUUGCCAUUUCUUUUAUAAGGGCACCAAUUGUGUGCAAGAAGUACAUUCAGAGAGUUAUUGCUUGCAGAAAUUUUCCCCCUAUUUCAGAAAUUUACUGCACCUCAUUUCUCCUUCAUCAUUUCUGAGAAUGUCUGGCCCAUCCGACCAUUGUUUUGACUUGAACUUUGGUGAAGAAGCAACCAUGCCUUCUCAAGACAACAUAUGGCGCCCAUCAUUCUUAUCUUCUACUGGUCAUCUUACCGUUGGGGACUCUGUGAUGAAGAAUGAUAUGACCGUUGUGGUGGUGGCCAGGAACCUUCUCACUCCCAAGGAUAACAGACUACUUUCCAAACGGUAUGAUGAGUUGGUUGUUAAGGAUUCUCUGGCUCUCAGUGUUCAGUGUGCAGGUUCUGUGUCUAAUAUGGCCCAACGCCUAUUUGCUUGAACCCGCCAAGUUGAAUCAUUGGCCGCUGAAGUGAUAAGUCUCAAAUAGGAGAUCAGAAGGCUCAAGCAUGAGAAUAAACAGCUGCACAAGCUCGCACAUGACUAUGCUACAAACAUGAAGAGGAAGCUCAACCAGCUGCAGAAAUCUGAUGGUCAGAUUUUACUUGAUCAUCAAAGGUUUGUGGGUUUAUUCCAAAGGCAUUUAUUGUUUUCAUCUUCUGGGGCUGUACCGCGUAAUGAAGCUCCAAAUGAUCAACCUUCGGUGCCUCCUCCUUCUGGGGUUCUACCUAGUACUGAGGCUCCGAAUAAUCACCCUCUAGUGCCUCCUCUUUCUGGGGUUCUGCCGAUUGUUGGGACUUCUCCUGAGCAACCUUUGUGAAGGCUCCCUCUUGUUUGUUUAUUUUGAUUCAUGUAUAUGUACAUAUUUGUAACUUAUCGGAGAUAUCAAUAAACAAGCUUUGCUUCAUUUCAACGUAUUGUGUUCAAUACACCAAGGCCUUCUUCACUAAGUUCUUUGAUUUUUCCUUUUGUUGAAGAUUGUAUGUUGAAGAUUGUAUGUUGAACUUUGUGAGUGAAACAUAUAGGUUGAGCUAGUGCUCCCUUAAUUUCCCGAGUGAGGAAAACUUCUCAUUUGGAGAUUUGAAAAAUCCAAGUCUUUGAUUGGUCGUGAGACUUCCGAGUAUCAAGGUGCAGUAGCAUAUGGUAGGAGUCCCCCAAGUCUCCGGUCGAAGGAGUUGACAAAUGAGGCAUUUCCUUUCUAAGUGGUAGCCCCAAACUCCUUCAUAUAUAUUUAUUAUGAAAGUUGUUAGGCCCAAAGAAGAGGAGGCCUAGGCAAUUUUUCUUUUUCGACAUUUUUUUUUUUCGAAUUUUUGAAUUUUUGAAUUUUUGAAUUUUUGAAUUUUUGAAUUUUUGAAUUUUUGAAUUUUUGAAUUUUCGAAUUUUUUAUUUUCAAAAUUCUGAAAAAAUAAAUAAAUAUAUAUAUAUAUAUAUAUAUAUAUAUUUUUUUUUGAAGCUUUGUAGAUGAAGCUUCGAUGUUGAAACUUUGUAGGUGAAGCUUUGAGGUUAAAGCUUUGUUGGGCACCAUGAAUUGAUUUUGCUUCACACUAUCUUGAUCAAGAUAGUGUGAAGCUUUUGUAGUUGAAGAUUUUGUGUUGAAGCUUUGUAGGUCAAGCUUUUGUGGGUCAAGCUUUUAUGGGUCAAGCUUUUGUGGGUGAACUUUUUGUGGGUCAAGCUUUUGUAGGUGAAGCUUUUGUGGGUGAAGCUUUUGUGGGUGAAGCUUUUGUAGGUGAAGCUUUUGUGGGUCAAGCUUUUGUGGGUCAAACUUUUGUGGGUCAAACUUUUGUGGGUGAAGUUUUUGUGUUGAAGCUUUUGUGGGUGAAGCUUUUGUAGGUGAAGCUUUUGUAGGUGAAGCUUUGGAGUUGAAGCUUUUGUUGGGUACCAUGAAUUGAUUUUGCUUCACACUAUCUUGAUCAAGAUAGUGUGAAGCUUUUGAGAAUUUGUAGUUGUCCUCCAUUGAUGAAGUUUUUGUUGGUGAAGCUUUGGAGUUGAAGCUUUGUAGGUGAAGCUUUUGUUGGUGAAGCUUUUGUUGGGUACCAUGAAUUGAUUUUGCUUCACACUAUCUUGAUCAAGAUAGUGUGAAGCUUUCGAGAAUUUGUUGUUCUGCUCCAUUGAUGAAGCUUUUGUUGGUGAAGCUUUGGAGUUGAAGCUUUGUAGGAGAAGCUUUGGAGUUGAAGCUUUGUAGGAGAAGCUUUGGAGUUGAAGCUUUGUAGGAGAAGCUUUGGAGUUGAAGCUUUUGUUGGUGAAGCUUUUGUUGAGUACCAUGAAUUGAUUUUGCUUCACACUAUCUUGAUCAAGAUAGUGUGAAGUUUUUGAGAAUUUGUUGUUGUCCUCCAUUGAUGAAGCUUUGUUGAAUUUCCCUUUUUUUUUUUUUUUUUUUUUUGGGAAACUAGAAAUUUGAAAAUGUGGGAGAGACAACAUAUACAAAUUUUGCUUCCACACUAUUGAGCAAGAGAUU